GCUACAGCGCCAUUAAGGAGGAUUGGAAUAAAGUUUCACCACCCCUCUUCUUUCUUGCUCUCAAUCGCCUAGUGCAUUCUUGGCCUAGGGUUAAGGGUGCAUCUGUCAAGGUUAUUAGUGACACCUAUGCCUUCAUUCCCCCAACGUGGAUCCCUAAACUCCUGUCUUUGGCCGUCUCCGAUGCUGGAAAAUAUCCUUAAUUGAAGAUCCAUAAUUAUUAAGUUCUAUCUAUGGAAUAAGACCCAUGCUAUAUCUAUUAAUUCUAUGUGUGUGUUCCUUCUGCCUAUAUCUAUAUAUGUUGUGCGUGCAUUUGAAAAAACAAUGCAUGGCAUGCAUAUUUGUGCUCUGUUAAUGCCUACGUGCAUCUUUGUCUCAUCAAUAAAAUAUAUUAUAUGUCUUUGUGCUUCAUAAUAAUGUGUAUGGGCCUAUUACUAUGAAGCAAAGUUGUAGUAUCAAUUCAGACUGGUUUGAUCCACAAUCAGUGUCUAAACCAAUUUGAGCUAGUAUUUGAAUGACCAUUCAUGCUACUCAAAUCCACCAAGGUUGACCUGAUUGACCAAGUUUUUUAAAUAUUUAAUUGAUAUGUUAUUUAAUAUAAUUUAUAUAUAUUUGUUUUUUUAAGAUCAGUGACCCAGUCUAAGUUGACCAAGUUUUUUAAAUGUUUAAUUGAUAUGUUAUUUAAUAUAAUUUAUAUAUAUAUUGUUAUUAUUUUUAUAUGGAAUAGACUUCUAUGGGUCUACGAGUCGAAUCAUUGAGUCUUUAAAACUUUGACGAAUUUAUGUAGACUCCUGAUCAAGUUUGAUAACAUUAAUGUCAACUUUACUUGUGGGAUGAGCUUGUAACCAUCCAUUAGUGAAGAUCUCUCUCCAUGUUUUAUCCCCCCUUAAUUUACCGAUAAUUAUAAUUCUCCUAAAAUAAAAUAAUAAAUUCUAAUUCACGUUUAGUAAAAUUCGAAUAAGAAAUAUAUUAAAAACUAAUAUACUUGCAAUCUUCCAAAAUAUUAUAUAAUCUCAAUAGGUUUAAAUAUGUUGUUGGUACCUGUAAAUUAGUCUUUUUUAUUUAUUUUUUGUCCUUUUAAAUGUAUUUUUCUAAUUUUAGUCCCUGAAAGUUGUUUUCUAAAUUUUAAUUCCCGUAAGUUUUUGUUUAUUUUUAGUCCUUGUAUUGUAAGUUUAUGUUUUUUCAAUUUUAGUCCCUUUAAGAUUGUAAUUUAUUCAUUUGUAAUCUGCAUAAGUUCAUGCUUAAUUACAAUGACCAAAAUUAUAUUGAAAAAAUACAAAUUUACAGGGACUAAAAAUAAAUAUAAAAAUUUACAAGGAUGAAAAUGAAAAAAAACACAUACUUAUCAAAACUAAAUAUGAAUAAUUUUUUCACAAAGAUCAAAAUUUAAAAAAAAAUACAAACUUACAAAAAGAAAAAUGUAUUUAAGUCAUAUAAUAUGAUGAUUUAAAUAUUUAUCAUUCAAUAUCGAGAUUUUAGUUAAUUGAACUAAAUGUAUUUAAAAGAGAUUUAAUUGAUAUGAAUUUACAAUUAAAGUAUCAAAAUUAAAAUUUAUCAACUAUUAUUUAUCAAUAAUCAAUGAUAAUGAGUUAAAAUCAUAAUUUAGACAUUCUUAAAUCAUCUUUUCAUGUCAGAUAUCAGAAAAAACAUAUUUUUGAAGAAAAUAUUGAUUAGGUUCUUCGAAUGAAAAUUGAUUUUGAGGGUGUAAUAACCAAAAUGGAUUUUAAUGUCUAUGUACACUCAAUUUUCUAUUAUAAUUAGUUAUAUAUAUAUAUAAUUAAAAUUAAAUGGACAUAAUUAAAAUUAAGAUAAUAUGUGUAUAAUAUGCUAACUUGAAGGCAAUCGGAUUCAAUAAUGAAAUCAUCAAUCCCAGAUCUUUGAGCCAUUAGAAGGCUACCAACAUGGCUAGGGCCUUCCUUUCAUGAGUUCAAACGGGGAAGUGUGAGAUAAAGCCAUGACAAAGUGACCUCUAUCAUCCCUGAUACAACAACCAACUUAAAAGAAUUUUCUUAUUCGACAAAAGCAGCAUCAAUAUUGCAUUUUAAAGUCCUUAGAGGAGGAGGUUCCCACCUUACUACCAUCAGAUUUGCAUUGGGUCUUAAGUAUGACUUCUCAAUCACUCAAGCUUUUCUCCAAAUCUCUUACAACAAUUCUAUUUUACAUACAAGCUUAGUGCUACAUGCUAGGCUAAGCGUGUAGGCACUUAUGCAGAAAUAAGAGUGCAACACAUUUGACCCUAUUUAAGCUCCAAGGAUGCAAAUAGAAGGUAGAUAACUUGUUGGGGGACUAUCUAGGGUUUGAGGUUGCAGGUGCAAAGCUCUCCCUUUCCCUCCAUGGCUUCCCUACCAUUUCUCGUCAUCUAUUUUCUUCUUGUAGUUAGGUUUACCCAUUUUAGGUGUUGAUGUAGUUGAAUCCAUCCUGAUGUUUACAUUUUGAUUAUUAAUGUAUGUUUAUUGUUCAUUAUUAUGUGCUUUCCUCUAUGCAUUAAUGUUUGCUUUAUCUUGACCACCCUUUUCUUGAUGUUGUGGUUUGAAUUGUUAGUGGAAAAUGCUUUGGAAUUUAGAAAUAUAGAGGAACACCUAAUGCGUUUUGUGUCUAGAGAUAGAACAAAGCAUGUUAGUCAUCUUUUAACUCUUGUUUUUAAAGCAAGUCAUUUGGGUAGAUUAGUCAAGGAAUUGGUAGUUUGGUCAAGGGGCUUAGAUUCUUUCCAUCCGAGGGAUCGGGGUUUGAGUAUUUUUGUGAGUUGAUUAUUAUAAUUGUGCUUUGAACUAGAUUAGUGAUCUUUUUUAGCAUGAGGAGGUGGUUUAGUGAAAUCAACCCUAAUUCUUUUAUUCUUUGUUAUUUUACUUCUUUUUAUCGCACUCCAAGUGUUCAUAAAAAUUUCCCAAAAAUAGUUUCUUAUUCUUUUUCUCUUGAACUUUAUGUUUAUUUCAUUUCCUAUUAUUUAUAUUGUUACAAUCAAAUUCUAAUUGUUUCUAAAAGCCAUAGUUAGUCAAUAUUCACUACUAGAAAAGCGAGAUUCUACAUCGGUUAUCGUGAGCAUUCUACAUCGGUUGACGACCGUCGUCGUAGCCAAUGUCAUAAAAAGGGAUAGCCUUUUCCAUUUUAGAAUGCUGAACAUUCUACCUGCACCAAAUUUACAAUUGGUUUCCAAAGUAUCAGUAUCACAUUCAAUCACAUGAUAAGAAGCAAAGUUUUCACAAAGUAUCAUGCAUAUCAAAAUUUAUGGGGUUUGGUCCCCAACUUCACACAAUCUAGUAUUCCUAAAAUAACAAUAUAGUAAUAAAAACUAACAAUUAUUAGAUCUGCUUACAAGUACAACACAAUGAUUUACUUGUGAUCGAAGAACUUCCUUGUAUGUUCCAAUUUCUCGUAAGGCUAUGGUGAAUUUGGUCAUAACAGGGUCUGGAAUAGAAACUCAGUCAUAAAUCAUUUCAUCACCAUUAGACUUUUAGAGUUAAAAGUAACAUCCAGACUUAAAAUCAUUUCAUAACAGGGCCUGCAAGCGAAUAUGUAAGAUUGCUGAAGUUGUCAAAGCCAAGAAAACAUUAGAAAACUUCCUAUUGCAAGAUUGCUGUAUAUAAACAAUACAAGGAAUGAGCUUGUCCUUGCAUAGAACUGCAAGUUGUGCUAUUUCCAAUGAUGAAACCUGCAAAAGAUGUAUCAUGAUGAAAAUAUAUAAUUUUUCUACUCAAUUAAUAUUGCUGAAGAACAUUGGAAGUUGUCAAAGCCAAGAGUGUCAAGCAAAUAUGUAAGAGCAACCUUUGUCCCAGUUUCCAGUUGGACGUAUCUCCAUAAACUAAUCAAGGAUGAAGGAUGUAAGGUCAAAAGUUUAAGAACUAAACAUUAUUGUAUUCAUCAAUAGCAAUUUUAGUUUGGUACCUUUCUUCCUCCUGAUAUGUAAAAUCGGGGUAAGCUUUCAUAAUAGUCUUCACCAUUUCUUUGAGAACACCAACUUCCUAUAAAUUUUUUUUGAAGAAACACAAUUUCAUAAGCUUAUAUAUGAUCCUCAUAUUUUCACAUUAGAUUUGUCAAUCUAGUUUGUAUCUUAGUACCUCUUCAUUUUUCACACACCGGUAGUGUACAGUGACACAAAAUCUAUUAUCCUCAAUCAUAGAGUCCUUUAUUCUUCUUGUAUUUUCUUUCAAAACCUUACUAUCUGCAAGACAUAAAUGGAACAUUCAGGAACAGAGGCAAAUGAUAUAUGAAGGCUUAAUCUCUUCACAUGUGCAAGGGAAAAAAUUAAGGGACAAUUUGAAUUAGGCUUAUACUUUAUAGGAGCUUUUCAAUCGUCCAACUUCCUUAAUUAAUAACCUAUUUACUUUUUAUAUCAUUAACUUUUAUAAUAAUUAUUUUAAAAUUUAUACUUGACUGAGUGAAUUAAUACAACCUCAAAAACAAAAGGAAAAUAAUACAACCUCAAAAAAGCUAGGAUGAUAUCUAAUGUCUACAUAGUGCAAUAUUUUGUUGACUGAGUGAAUUACCUUAUCCUUGCUCCUUCCACUAACAACGGCAGUGGGAAAACAAUUGACAACUUCACAUACAGCUGCACGCAUCUGCAAAACAGUUGGCAGCUUCCUAUAAAUUUAUUUUAUUUUUACUUACUAAUCAUGUAUAAUAAAUUUAAAAUAAUUACUUUAAAAAUCAUAUAAAUAAUUAUUUUUUAUUAAUUGAUAAUGUAAAAAAAUUUACCCUAAUAGUAUAUAAACAUUAAACUUUACACGUAUAUAAAAUCAUAUUAAUAUUUAUUUAAGAGUCUUGUUAAUAAUAUCAUUAGGGUACUUGUUAAGAAAUCAAUAAGUAAAUUUUUUAAAGUUCAAAUAAUACACUGUUAUACUUUCUAAUAAAAAAUCGCUUUUGAUUCAUUAAUUAAUUUCCUAACAACAACAAUUAGCAUUGGUAAAAAAAUAACAAAAAUAGUUAGCCUUUUGCUUUAUUUAAUAAGGUGUAUUUAGGUGAUGUUUGAAAAGAACUAGCACUAAACUUACACAACAAUGUCUACAGUUGAAAAAUCGUUUUAAGAUAUAAAAUGGAUGUUAACAGUUGAAAUAUGAUUGAAGUGACAUUUUUGUUUGAUAAGUUCUUAUUAAAUUAGUGAGAAUUAAUCUAUUUAUGCACGUUACAAAUGUAUUAAGGAUUUCUAAUUCAAUUGCUCGUGCAGACUUUGUAUCACCAUACUUAGACAAUUGUUCAUUUUCCCUAUUUCAACAUUAACUCAUUUUUGUAUAGCUGCAUCUUACUUAACUUCAUUACUGAAAACGGGAGUAAAUAUUAGGACUGGUACCUAAAAUUUUCCAAUGUCAGAAGCUGUGUGAUUUCGUUGAACAAUUCUUCGUUAAAUGUAACAAACACUUUCAAAUCCUUCACUAAUAUUUCUACAGCCUUGGACCAGUCAUGCCUACGAAAAUUUAAAACAGUUCAACUAAACUUGUCAGCUAGUAGUAGAAGCCUAGAACUAGGAUGCAGAGAAAGAGAGAGUCAACAACAGAAUCUAAAUGUGAACUUGUUAUGAGCUUACUUAUCUAAAGCCUCCAGAUACUUCUGCUUCCUUAUCUCAAAAAAUAUCUUCAUAGAAUACCUAUUAUCAUCCACCUUUGUGAAACCAGAGAGGUAUUUCUCCACCUCAUCCCAAUUGCCAUUGUGCACUUCAUCCUCAAAAUAUGAAUGUUAAAGAAAAACGCUGACUCCUGCUCAAGCCUAUUAUUAUUUUUAACAAAAAUAAAACAAGUUAAUUAAUGCAGCUGGUCUCACAUUCAAAUUCCUGCGAGAUAUAUACCAAUGAGGUAUUUCUCCACCUCAUCCCAACUCUACAUGACAAAAGAUCAAAAUUAGAUACUGACUUUUCAAACCUAUCCAAGCCCAGUUUAAAAGGGAAAAGGGACAUGAGAUUAAUAUUAGCACAACCAACUGAAAUUUUACCAGCAAUCAAUUCACUGAGAGAACAGGUGUAUAACAAAAAACCAAAACAUAUAAAUCAGAAAGUCUCCCAAAGCUAAUACUAGGUGGCUCUGAAGCUCACUCACUUGUAAAGGUAAAAACCAUGUAUGUUGUUUUCACUCAUAGUAAUACUAUCAGAGUAGGAAUUAUGAAACUUACAAGGGAUGAAGCUGGCACUCCAAUUUCUUCAACUACUUCAUGAACAAUGCUGUAAAAAAUCUCCUGUGAAACCUUAACGUUAAUAGAUUCUGUUAACUCCUUGUCAUAUUGAUGAGAUGUUAUACCAAUUUCUUGAGGCUGUCAAUCAGUAAUAAAGAAAAAUCAACGUAUAGCCAAGUCAUCGCAUAAAUUUUAUGAACAUGAAAAAAUUAUGGGCUUCUAUUCAGUAAUCAAUUAAUCAUUGAACAGAAGACAAUACAGUAAAGUAGAAAGAGCAAAAUACAAUACGGUACAGCAAAAAGGAACAUAUAUCAUGACAAAUAAAUGCAUCACACCCCCAUAAAUGAAAUUAAAGACUUCUUUUUGAACUAACUGUCCAUUACAUAUCUAUUGUAGAAAAUAAAGGUACUACUGCAACACUAGAUAGCAGCAACAGAAAGGAUUUAACACAUCCACUUCACCAUUGAAUACCUCAGGGUGGCCUCCAGGGAAAACAAAAUGUCCAGGAAAUUCAUCAACAUUAUUACUUCAUUGUAAUACUAGUAUUUUGUUGUCAUUUGUCUCUACCACUGCACCAUUUCCUAGUGGGCUGGAGGUGUGCUGACAAAGAACAGAAUCAUCUGAGGAGAAAUAAGGAUGAAGCCAAAAGAUUGACAAAUAAAUCAAUACCAAUUCAAAGCAAAGAAAGGAUGGAAGAGGAUGAGGCAGAGCGAGAGGGAACAUAACUCAACCCUCAUCCCCUUCCUGAUGAUUUUAUUGGACAUCAAAGCAACUUCAAUUUGAAAGUUAGGAGUCACAUUAUCCUAAGUUCAGGUGCUAACAGUUUAAGGUCACAGGGUAACCACAAAAUAGUAGUACUUGAGUUAAAAAGAAGGCAGAAAAUUGUAAUGAUUUACCUUCUAAUGGAAACAGGAACCUUUCCCACAUAGGACUUAAAUUUGUCCCCACAAAAGUCCUGGAAGAAAUUUUAACCAAUAAUUAAUAAAUAAAGGGAAGUAGAACUGAAGCAAAAAUAAAUCCAAGGAGAGAAUAGCAAUAAGAUUCAACUACAACAAAAAUAAACGAUUUAAUCAUAAUUAACACAUAAAUAUAACUUUGUCAUCAUUGAUUUGACUAUUUUCUCUUCACGGAAGCAAACCCUAAUACGAUGACACAUAUGAAUGCGAUUUUUUAUUAAAAAAGGGGGAAAUGAAAACAACCUACCUGCCAGAGUAUAAGAGGAUUGGUUGUCUUAGCAGCGGGAGAGUGGUCAGCAUCAGGUUCAGCUUGCAGAGGCGAAGAAACAACCACCGCCACUUGGGUUUUCGGAAACUGUUGAUAUGAACCCUCAUGGCACAAGGGCUGACUUAGGAUCGUCUAGGAUUAAACCUUGGUGGAAAAUGUGGAAAUUGAUUAAGGAAAGGAUGACGAAUAAGGUGGUUAAUUUCGUAGGUCUUAAUAAGGUGGUUCUUGGCAUAAAAUGGAAUAAUGAGAUAAGAAAACGUAGGUUAAGUGGUGGCUGGACAGAAAUAUAGAAAUGACAAAAACUCAAGCUACAUGGCUCCAAAUGUGGUGAUUCCAAAACGAGGUGAAAGGACUCGUCUUGAAAUUCAAUUUAGGCUCAAGAAUCACUUAAUUUGAGUGCGUAAAACGGGAGUUAUGACCACGAGAUAAUUCUGGGCAGAGGUGGAUUUUCUGGAAUUGUGAUUUGAAAGAACAAGGUUUGUAAGCAUUGUCAUUGAUUCUUUCAAGCACUUGAAAUGGUCCAUCUCCCCUUGGUUGAAGCUUUGAUUUCCUUUGUUCCGGAAACCUUUCUUUUCUCAUGUGCACCCAAACCCAAUCUCCGGGUUCGAAGACAACCUUCUUUCUCCCUUUGUUGGCUUGUUUAGCAUAGCUUUUAUUUUUCCUCUCAAUUUGAUCUUUGACUCUCUCAUGAAGCUUCUUCACAUAGUCCGCCUUUGCUUGACCUUCUUUAUGCUUAAAAACAGAAACAUUAGGCAUAGGCAAAAGAUCAAGAGGAGUUAGUGGGUUAAAACCAUAAACAACUUCAAAAGGAGAACAAUUAGUGGUGCUAUGAACAGCUCUAUUGUAAGCAAAUUCAACAUGGGGUAAACAAGCUUCCCAAGUUUUCAAGUUCUUCCUCAAAAUUGUCCUAAGCAAAGUUCCCAAAGUCCUAUUAACAACUUUCGUUUGCCCAUCGGUUUGUGGGUGACAAGUGGUUGAAAAUAACAAUUUAGUGUCCAACUUGCUCCACAAAGUCCUCCAAAAAUGACUUAGGAACUUAGAGUCCCUAUCACUAAAAAUGCUCCUUGGCAAACCAUGGAGUCUCACAAUCUCCUUGAAAAACAAAUCAGCCACAUGGGAAGCAUCAUCAACUUUUUUACAUGGAAUAAAAUGAGCCAUUUUAGAAAACCUAUCAACAACCACAAAAAUGGAAUCUCUACCAUUGCUUGUUUUUGGCAGCCCCAAAACAAAAUCCAUGGAUAAAUCAAUCCAAGGAUACUCCGGAAUUGGCAAUGGAGUAUACAAUCCAUGAGGCUUUACCUUAGACUUUGCCUUUUUACAUACAAUGCAAUGUUCACAAAAUUUCUGCACAUCCUUUUUCAUAUGAGGCCAAUAAAAAUGUUCUUGUAAUGUUUCUAGAGUCUUUUGGACCCCAAAAUGCCCCAUUAAACCUCCUUCAUGUGCUUCACAAACAAGCAAAUUUCUAGUAGAACAUUUAGGCACACACAAUUUGUUUUCUUUGAAAAGAAAGCCUUCAUGUCUAAAGAAACCAUUUUCUGAAAAUUUUUCACAAUUUUUAAAAAUUUCUCCAAAAGUUUCAUCAUUUUCAUACAUGCUUUUCAAACAUUCAAGACCAAUCAAUUUUGUUUCAAGCAUAGAAAGUAAUGCAUGACGCCGAGAAAGAGCAUCGGCUACAAUAUUACCUUUUCCCUUUUUAUGUUUGAUAACAUAAGGGAAUUGCUCUAGGAAUUCCACCCACUUCGCAUGCCUUUUGUUAAGCUUGCCUUGCCCCUUGAUAUAUUUGAGGGACACAUGGUCACUAUGAUGACAAAUCCCUUGGGAUAAAGGUAGUGUUGCCAUGUUUUCAAAGCCCGUACUAAGGCAUACAACUCCUUAUCAUAAGUUGAAUAGUUAAGGGUAGGACCACUUAACUUUUCACUAAAAUAAGCAAUUGGAUGGCCUUCUUGCAUCAACACAGCCCCAAUCCCAACAUUUGAAGCAUCACACUCAAUUUCAAAAGAUUUUUGAAAGUUUGGCAACGCAAGUAUGGGGGCAUUAGUUAGCUUUUGCUUAAGAACAUUGAAAGCUUCUUCUUGUUUCUCUCCCCAUUUGAAACCAACAUUUUUCUUGAGCACUUCAUUGAGAGGUGUUGCCAAUGUGCUAAAAUCCUUCACAAAUCGUCUAUAAAAACUUGCUAAGCCAUGAAAACUCCUCACCUCGGUCACGGACUUAGGUGUAGGCCAUUCUUGAAUAGCCCUAACCUUCUCCUCAUCAACUUGUACUCCUUUUGAACUCACAACAAAACCAAGAAACACAACAUGGUUAGUACAAAAGAUGCAUUUUUCAAGAUUGGCAUACAAUUGUUCUUCUCUAAGCACAGUCAAGACAGAGUUUAAAUGAUCAAUAUGCAAAUCAAGUGAAGUGCUAUAGAUAAGAAUAUCAUCAAAGUACACCACAACGAACUUUCCUAUGAACUCUCUCAAGAUAUGGUUCAUUAGUCUCAUGAAAGUGCUAGGAGCGUUAGUUAGGCCAAAAGGGAUAACCAACCAUUCAUACAAACCAUAUUUUGUUUUAAAAGCAGUUUUCCAUUCAUCCCCUUCUCUAAUCCUAAUUUGAUUGUAUCCACUUUUUAAAUCGANNNNNNNNNNNNNNNNNNNNNNNNNNNNNNNNNNNNNNNNNNNNNNNNNNNNNNNNNNNNNNNNNNNNNNNNNNNNNNNNNNNNNNNNNNNNNNNNNNNNAGGGCUCUACAAUCGGAACACCAUGCCGCCCUGUCCCAUCCUUUUUAGGACCAAAAUCACUGGGACAGCACCAAGGACUCAUACUAUCUCUACCCAACCUUUGCUAAUGAGUUCAUCCCACUUGUCCUUUGAAUCCUCUUUGGUUUCUUGUGGAUUACUUCUAUAGGCUGGCCUAUUGGGCAAAGAAGCUCCCAGAAUGAGAUCAAUUUGAUGCUCAAUUCCCCUCAAAGGUGGUAGUCUACUUGGCACAUUUGGUGGAAACAUGUCUUGAAAAUCCUGCAAAAGAGUUUUAACACUAGAAGGCACUUCAAAAUCAUCAAAAGUGUUAGUGGUCAAAAUCUGAUUUUUGCAAAAUAAGAUAUAUAGUGACUGUUUAGCACGAAACAACCUCUAGACCUCACUUUUUGUGGCUAAAUAGCUCUCCCUCACUUCAAGUGUUUCACUCUUCUUUUGUUCACUCUUUUUCCUCUCAAGUGUUUCCCUCUUUUUCUCACUCUCAAGUGUUUUGCUCACUUUUUCUUUUUCUCUUUUCUCUUGAAGAAGUUUUUCUCUCAUUUUCUUUUGAUCCUCACAUACUUCUUGUGGACUCAAUGGCUUGAGCACAAUCUUUUUGUCUUGGUGCAUGAAAGAGAUCUUGUUGGUGUAACCGUCAUGAUUGGCUCUUUUAUCAAAUUGCCAUGGUCUCCCCAAAAGUAUGUGACUGGCCUCCAUAGGAACAACAUCACAAAGUACCUUAUCAUUGUAUUUCCCAAUGGAAACGUCCACUUCAACUUGCUGCCUCACUUGCACCUCCCCAUCCUUACUAAGCCAUUGAAGUUUGUAUGGCCUAGGAUGUGGUUUAGUAGCUAAAUUUAGCUUUGACACUAAUCUAGCACUAGCCACAUUGGUGCAACUACCUCCAUCAAUGAUCACCAUGCACACCUUGCCAUUGAUUAAACAUCUAGUGUGAAAGAUGUUUUCUCUUUGGCUCUCCUCCUCAUGCUUCAAUUGACCACCAAGUAACCGCCUAAUCAUCAACAAAUCUCCCUCCGGAGUCUCCUCUUCCUCUACGUACUCACUCUCCUCUUCCUCUUCAACAUCAGAUUCACUUAUAUAUUCUCCAUCUCUAAGAACCAUGGACCUUUUGUUAGGGCACUCAUAAGCAUAGUGUCCUAGGCCUUGGCACUUGAAACACUUCACAUCUCUACUCCUUUUAGAGGGUUCCUCUUGGGACUUUGAGCGAGUUUUUGAUGGGAUAGGUGUGGAACUACUAGAAGUAGCAGCCCCAUCUUUCUUACCUUUGUCUUUCCAACUAGAAGAACCAAAGUUGGUAAAACUCCUAUUAGCCACUCCUUUCCUUUUUAAUUGUUGCUCUACUUGGAUUGCUUUGUGAAGCAAAUCAUCCAUUUCAACAAACUCCUGCAGCUCAACAAUAUCACGAAUAUCAUUAGUCAAACCAUUAAGAAAUCGAGCCAUAGUUACCUCCUCAUCUUCUUCAAUCUUUGCUUGAAUCAUGAGCACAUCCAUUUCCUUGAAAUACUCCUCAACCCCCUUGUUGCCUUGGGUUAGUUUUUGGAGCUUGAAUUUCAAGUCCCUUGAGUAACUAGCUGGCACAUAUCGCUUCCUCAUGAUCUUUUUCAUCUCCGUCCAUGUAUCAACCAUUGGCUCUUCAUUUCUUGCUCUCUCCUUUUGUAGCUUGUUCCACCACACAAGAGCAUAGUCGGAAAACUCUGUGGCGGCAAGCUUCACCUUUUGGUCCUCCUCAUAGUUGUUGCAUGAGAAAACAUGCUCUAUUUUCAUCUCCCACUCCAAGUAGGCCUCCGGAUCAUUCUUUCCUUUAAAGGGGGGAAUGUUGAGUUUAAUACCAUCAAUUCGGUUUUGUCUAGGAACACCAUCAUUCCCUCUUCUCCUCCUUUCUUCUUCAUUAUGAUCUCUAUUCUCCAUUUGAUCCAACCUCUCAUGGAGCGCAUCAUCUCGUUGUUUCAUUAACCUCUCCAUAUGUUGCAUCAAAGCUUGCAUUUGGAAUUGCGAAAGCCCCACUCCAUCAUUAGGAUUAGUACCUGACAUCUCAAACAAACAAAUCAAACGUAACAAGACAAUUAUAGUUUCUGUUUGAAUACCUCACCCACUCAAGUGUAUCACACAAUUAUGGCUUUUCUCUAAUGAAACACUCUUGCCUUUUACCACUCUAAUUCCCCUUGAGUUCUUAGGCAAUUCAAGAGAUUAUGGCCACAACAAAGAACAAUUCACCAAUAUGUGUAAGGUAAGGCUAGAGAGACAAGGAAAAGGUUAACCAAGAAAAAGGCUAACAAUGUUUUUAGGCACAAAUGAAGGAAAUAAAAUUCAGAAUUUAGGAAUUCAAGUAACAAUCCUUCAUGCAACCAAUAUAUUACCUUAAAGAGAUUUUUUUUUUAAAGUUCUUCAAGCAUGAACCAUUCAGCCCAAUUUUUUUUUUUAAUUUUGCUUAUACGAAAUUCUGCUUCUUCUUUUUUUUUUUUUAUAACAAAGAGAUCAAAAGGCUUAACUUUUGCAAUGGUUCAGCCUAAAAAAAUAUAUAUAUAUGAAUAAGAAGGUAAUAUAAAUGGCAAAGAGAAUAAAGAAGGAUGUUACCCAAUAUUUCCAGCAAAGGAAGUGUUGAUCCUAGAACCGGAGCUCUGAUUACCAAAUGAUAUGAACCCUCAUGGCACAAGGGCUGACUUAGGAUCGUCUAGGAUUAAACAUUGAUGGAAAAUGUGGAAAUUGAUUAAGGAAAGGAUGACGAAUAAGGUGGUUAAUUUCGUGGGUCUUAAUAAGGUGGUUCUUGGCAUAAAAUGGAAUAAUGAGAUAAGAAAACGUAGGUUAAGUGGUGGCUGGACAGAAAUAUAGAAAUGACAAAAACUCAAGCUAUAGGGCUCCAAAUGAGGUGAUUCCAAAACGAGGUGAAAGGACUCGUCUUGAAAUUCAAUUUAGGCUCAAGAAUCACUUAAUUUGAGUGCGUAAAACGGGAGUUAUGGCCACGAGAUAAUUCUGGGCAGAGGUGGAUUUUCUGGAAUUGUGAUUUGAAAGAACAAGGUUGAAGAUGAAAGGAAGGAAAAAAUCACUCUUUCCGGCGAGGGCAACACACAAAGGUUGUGAAAGUCCUUUGAUACAGCCAGGGUGUUCUUGAAUCACUCAAGAAUUUAGGAGAAUCACUCUCACUAAGAUAAAAGAGAUAAACUCUAAUUUUCUGAAUAAAACUCAACUUGUCUUUAUUGAUAAAAUGGUUCAGCUUAUAUAAAAGCUUUACAACAGAUUUUAGUAAUGACCCACUAACCUAGAAUUAAAAUAACUUAAUGCCAUUAACCUAGGGAAUUAAAAAAAACUUAAUGGCUGAGUGUAACUGAAAUUGUGGCAACCAAAGGUCACCCCCAACAGCCAACAAGUCAGCCACCAUUUGGUCUCCCAAAAGGCUGAUGCCUAGGUUGCCAAUUGGGCCUUUAUUACAACUUGAACUAAACCUACUAAAGCCCUUUUAGUUGAUUAACCCAAAACAUAUUUUUGGUCAGCCAACUUUACAAGAAUUGGGCCAUUAUUUAGACAAACUUAACACUCUAAAAUUGAGACAAAGUGGUGCCAUUUAGUCCUCCUCCAUUUAGGCCAUGAUACAACUCACAACCUUGGACUUUUCUCCUUGAAACUUGGGCUUGUAUUCAAAUAGUAUGGACAGCACUUGUUGAAGAGCUUCCUUGGCUUUCCUUGCUCUAGCCCUUGUCAUAGGCCCUCCAAGUCCUUCAAGUGGAUCCUUGCCCUUGCUCUUGGUCAUGUCUUCAUCAACUGUACACAGCUAGGCUUCGGACCCUGAGCCUCAGGGUUGGGUUCUUGAGGUUUGGGUGGGAGGAAAGGGAGUUGAAAAUUGAUUUUAGGAAACAAAGAGAAGAGGUUCGGUAGGGACUCUUUGGGUGGUGCUUCUUCAGUCACCGCAGUUUCAUCGCCGCUUCUGCUCAUUGUUCAAGGGACAGCAACAGGCACAACCCCUUGGUGCUGGGGUUAGAGGUCGAGGUUUCAUCGCUGCUUCUGCUCGUUGUUAGGUUUCUUUCGACGCUUUUGAAUGCAAAGGGACACCACAGCAUGUGGAUAAGACCAAGAGAUAACGAUGGUGCUUUAAUAAAACCCGUCGCAAGUCUUAUGACCAACACAACCGUCUUAGAAUGUGUAUCGUACAAGGCUUUUUUAGUACAAUAAUUACAAAAAUGCCACCGGUUCGUUUUCUAUGGCGGUUCUAAAAGAACCGUCGUAGAACGCAUGUCGUAAAAUAACAUUUUUCUAGUAGUGAUUUCUAUUUUUUUGAGUAUUACGCGAGUGCCUAUGAAUACGAGAGUGGCAACAACGAAAUAGUGAAGGUUCGAGAGGAUGAGACGAUUUAAAAGUGAGUCAGCGCCAGAGGUUUAGAAAUAUUAAAAAAAAUAACUAACAUAAAUUUUAUUUAAAAAUUGAUGUUAUCUACUCAUUUGACAAAUCGAUUUUCAAAAACCGAUGUUAACUAAUUACUAACAACAUUGAUUUUUUUUUUAAAAAAUGAUGUUAACAUUGUACUAACAACAUCAGUUUUCAAAUAAACCGAUGUGGGUAAAACAAUAUUUGGGCCUCCAUAGGCCCAACCUCUAUGCAUACCCCUUUCUCGUCUUUCUCCAUCCACACUUCAUUUUCUCAAACUUCAUCUUUCAUGCUGCCAAGAAGCCAAGCACUAGUUUCUUUUUAGGAUGUAGUUAUUCAUUUACUCAUUUACUUUAAUUGUUUUUUCAUCUAUUUAUUUCCUAUUUUCUAUUUAAUGUCAACUUUAUCGUGAAGAUUAUUCAAUUAAAUGUCACAUUUGAUUUUCUCACAUGUUUUAAAAUAAUUUAUAGGUGGUUGAGUAAGAUACGUGUUGUAAACCUCCUGAUAAAUGUCUUUGAUUCCAACGGAUAAAAAAAGUCACAAUUAUUAUUUUUAUUUCCUUUCCAAUAAUUUUUUCAGACAUUUUUUAUUUAUUCCAUAUUUAUUAUAAUUACUUGCUUAAAUAUGAACAUUUGAGUAUUAAAUUUUAUUUAUUUGUUUAAAAUAAUAAUAAUAAUUUUAAUACUAUUAUCACAAUUUUAACUUCAUUUGUUUUUUACUUAGUGAAUUUUAUAAUCUAGGAAAAUAUUGUGCAUGUGUGUAUUUCUAGAAAUAGAAGGGAAAAAUGUAUAUAUAUAUAUAUAUAUAUAUAUAUAUAUAUAUAUAUAUAUAUAUAUAUAUAUAUAUAGACACACACACUAGUAUUAGAAACUGUGCAAUGCAUAGGCAAACUGAUUUAUUGUAAAUUAUCACAAAUUAUAAUUAUUAUAUGAUUGAAUUUAAAGAAAAACUAAUUUUACAUUGUAUUGCUAGGUUAUAGCUGAGACUACUAAUCUUGCAUCAAAAACAUGUUUCUUCGAUACUAUUGUGUUGCAGCUAUAUAGAAUAACAUUUCUUCUUUUAAACUUUAUUUGUUUAAAAAAGGUGUUGCUAAGAGGAAUGAGGAGAUUGAAUUUGAUGGUAUUGCAUAUUUUCUUGAGCUUCCAACCCCAGAAAUGUUGCAUGGACUAUAGGUACCAUUAUCUUGUUAUUUCAUCUGAUAUUUAAUAUAUUACCUUGAAUUUAAGCUUCUUUGUACAAAUUACAUACAAAUGCAGUUUUUUUAUUAACUUGUUUGACAAAAUUAGUGCUUAUACUCCAAAAAUGAAAAAUAAUAAUUCAAUCCGUGUAAAACUAUUUUGAAUAAUUGAAUUACUAAUACAUGAGUAACAUAAUUUACCAAUUGAAUAUCAAAGUUAACCUGAUUAUUGAGGAUGUAUUUCAUAUUCUGCACUAUGAAAAUUGUAUCUAUAGUUGACAUAUUUUUGCUCAUAUAUUAAGUAUAAAUUUUCUUACUUGCGUUAAACAUAAAUUUCAUAUUUUUAAUUCUAUAUGUUGUUUCUAUCUUUAAGAAAAAUGUUCAUCUCCAUAAAUUAAGUAUAGAUUAUCUUAAAAAUAUCAUUUUCAUAUUUUUAGAUAAUCUACUGGGAGAAGAAGAGAAAAGAAAAACUCCACCUCAUAAUUUUACAAAUAAAUUCUAGACAUUAAUUUGACUUAUACUUGGUAUUUUAAAUAAAAUAAAAUAUUCAAUGAAUUAGUUAAGUGAAAAGAAAAUAAGCAAGAAAUAAACCAAAAAACAUUUGCAUUAAUCUCAUUAGUUAUAUUUUAUUAAUGUUGACCUGAUUGGAUUUUGUUAAAAUUGGUGACUCUACACAGGUUGAACAAGUUUUUUAAAUGUUUAAUUAGUAUGCUAUUUAAUUUAUAUGUAUUUUGUUAUUAUUUUUAUAUGAAGUAGCCUCUUAUGAGUCUACGAGUUGAAUCCAUGAGUCAAGUUUUUAGAACUUUGACGAGUUUAUGUAAACUGCCGAUCGAGUUUGAUAACCUUAGUGUCAAAUAUAUAUGUAUUUGAUAACCUUAGUUGUAAACCUCUUGAUAAAUGUCUUUGAUUCCAACGGAUAAAAAAAGUCACAUUUAUUAUUUUUAUUUCCUUUCCAAUAAUUUUUUCUGAAAUUUUUUAUUUAUUCCAUGAUUAUUAUAAUUUCUUGCUUAAAUAUGAACAUUUGAGAGUUUAAUUUUAUUUAUUUGUUUAAAAUAAUAAUAAUAAUUUUAAUACUAUUAUCAUAAUUUUAACUUUAUUUGUUUUUUACUUAGUGAAUUUUAUAAUCUAUGAAAAUAUUGUGCAUGUGUGUAUUUCUAGAAGUAGAAGGGAAAAAUGUAUAUAUAUAUAUAUAUAUAUAUAUAUAUAUAUAUAGAGAGAGAGAGAGAGAGAGAGAGAGAGAGAGAGAGAGAGAGACACUAGUAUUAGAGCCCGUGCAAUGCACAUGCAAACUGAUUUAUUGUACAUCAUCACAAAUUAUAAUUAUUAUAUGAUUGAAUUUAAAGAAAAACUAAUUUUACAUUGUAUUACUAGGUUGCAGCUGAGACUACUAAUCUUGCAUCAAAAACAUGUUUCUUCGAUACAAUAUACUAUUGUGUUGCAACUAUAUAGAAUAACAUUUCUUUUUUAAAUUUUAUUUGUUUAAAAACAGUGUUGCUAAGAGGAAUGAGGAGAUUGAAUUUGUUGGUAUUGCACAUUUUCUUGAGCUUCCAACCCCAGAAAUGUUGCAUGGACUACAGGUACCAUUAUCUUGUUAUUUCAUUUGAUAUUUAAUAUAUUACCUUGAAUUUAAGCUUCUUUGUACAAAUUACAUACAAAUGCAGUUGUUGUAUUAACUUGUUUGACAAAAUUUGUGCUUAUACUCCAAAAAUGCAAAAUAACAAUUCAAACUGUGUAAAACUAUUUUGAAUAAUUGAAGUACUAAUACAUGAGUAAUAUAAUUUACCAAUUGAAGACCAAAGUUAAGCUGAUUAUUGAGGAUGUAUUUCAUAUUUCGCAAUAUGAAAAUUGUAUCUAUAGUUGACAUAUUUCUGCCCCUAAAUUAAGUAUAAAUUUUCUUACUUGCUUUAAACAUAAAUUUCAUAUUUUUCAUUCUAUAUGUUGUUUCUAUCUUUAAAAAAAAUGUUCAUCUCCACAAAUUAAAUAUAGAUUUUGUUACUUGUCUUAAAAAUAUCAUUAUCAUAUUUUUAGAUAAUCUACUGGGAGAAGAAGAGAAAAGAAAAACUCCACCUCAUAAUUUUACAUAUAAAUUCUACAUUAAUUUGACUUAUACUUGGUAUUUUAAAUAAAAUAAGAUAUUCAAUGAAUUAGUUAAGUGAAAAGAAAAUAAGCAAGAAAUAAACCAAAAAACAUUUGCAUUAAUCUCAUUAGUUAUAUUUUAUUAAUAUUCUUCCAUAAAAAAAUAGUUUAUCUGUAUUCUCCAUAUUAAGUAAAACAAAGUAUUCAAAAACAUUAGUUAAGUAAAAAAAAAAAACUUAUAUGAGUAAGAAGAUGAUAAAUAAGAAAUACAUCAUUUACCUAUAAUUCAAUUUUAGAUGUUAAUUUUAUUUAUACUUUUAUGUUAAAUAAAAUCAGAUAUUCAAUAAAUUAGUUAAGUGAUAAGAUACUAAGCAAGAAAGAAAAAUAAUUAUUUACACAAUUCUCAUUCAUUAUAUUUUAUUCAUAUUCUCUAUAAUAAAUAACACAAAGUAAUUAAAAAAUUAUUUAAGCUAAAAAACCAUUUAUAUUAUCAUAAUUUCAUUGAUUCAAAUUUCUCUUAGUUAUGGAAUUAUAUAUGUAUUAAAUAGGAAAAAAUUUACUCCUCAGUAAUUAAAUAUAGUUUUUUUUAUUUUCUUUAAAAAGAUCAUUUUCUUCUUUUUUUUUGUAUAUAAUUUCUAUCUUUGGAAAAAAAAAAGUUUCUCGUAUAUUAGGUAAUGAUAUUUUUACUUGCUUUUAAGAAUCAUCUUUAUAUUUUAUAUUUAUUUUUUAUCUUAGUAAAAAAAAGUUACUCCCCUUAAAUUAAGUAUAAAUUUUGUUAUUUGAUUUUAAAGAAUUAUCUUUAGGAUAGUAUUUUAGUUCAAUAGAAAUAAUUUCCGAUCAAACUUUAUUUACCCUCAAUUGAACUCCAAAUUAGUCAAUACACGUUUCCUCCCAUGAAUUGGACGACUAAGGCCAUAAAAAAAGUCACCUUAAUAUUUUAUAUUGAAUAUACAAUUUCUAAUUUUAGUUGAAAUAUUCCUCCCCAUAAAUUAAGUAUAGGUUUUCUUACUUGCUUUAAAAAUAAAUUUCAUAUUUUUUGUUAUUUCUAUGUUUAAGAAAAAUGUUAAUCUCCACAAAUUAAGUAUAGAUUUUGUUACUUGUUUUCUUUAAAAUAUUAUUUUCAUAUUGUUUACAUAACUUGCUGGGAGAAGAAGAGGAAAGAAAAACCACACCUCCUCAUUUUACAUAUAAAUUUUAGACAUUAAUUUUACUUAUACUUGAUACUUUAAAUAAAAUAAAUUAUUCAAUGAAUUACUUAAGUGAAAAGACAAUAAGCAAGAAAUAAACCAAAAAACAUUUACAUUAAUCUCAUAAGUUACAUUUUAUUCAUAUUCUACCUGAAACAUCACAAUGCUAGUGAUUAUGUUGGAUGGAGGUGAAGGGGUAGGAGUCAUUUUAUUUAAUGACUGAAUUUUGAAAUUGUCUAGUAGCAGUAGUGAAACACAAAUGGAUCCUCUGCAAUGAAGUUAAUUACUACUAUAGAUAAUUGUAACUUUUUAUUAAAUUCUAUAUUUUUAUGACAAUUGACUUAUAUUAUUUUGGUACAAAAAAAAAUGGCAAUACAAUUUGGAACAUGACUAAAAUAGUGGGGAUCAACUUUAGGAUUCAGAGCUCGAGCAAGAGAGUGAGUCAUUGAGUUAACUUGUCUCCCUACAAAACAAACACAAAAGUUUGGUAAAUCACAUAGCAUAGUACGACAGUUGUAUAAGAUCGCACCAUAUUUCGAUUUAUCUGAGCGAUAGUUAUAUACUUCAUUCUCCACUUGAAGGCAAUCAAAUUCAAUAAUGAUAUCAUCAAUAUCCAGAUCUUAGGCUACCAACAUGGCUAGGGCAUUCCUUUCAUGAAUCAACAAUUUAAACGGGGAAGUGUGAGAUAAAGCCAUGAAAAAUUGACCUCUAUCAUCCUUCAUAAAACAACGAACUUAAAAGAACUUUCCUAGCUCUUUGACAAAAGCAGCGCCUAUAUUGCAUUUUAGAGUCCCUAGAGGAGGAGGUUCCCAUCCUUACUACCAUUAGAUUUGCAGUGGGUCUUAAGUUUGCCUUCUCAAUCACUCGAGCUUUUCUCCAAUCGUAGUCAAAAAACUCCUGAGCUUGAUGUACCUCAAGCUCAGUGCAUAAUCACUUACAACAAUUCUAUUUUACAUACAGGUUCAGUGCGAAAUUCUAGGCUAAGCGUGCAGGCAAUUAUGCAGAAACAACAGUGCAAUGCAUUUGAUCCUAUUUAAGCUCCAAGGAUGCAAAUAGAAGGUAGAUAAUUGGCUGGGGGACUAUUUAGGGUUUGAGGUUGCAGUUGCAAAGCUAUCUUUUACCCUCCAUGGCUUCCCUACCAUUUCUCAUUAUCUAUUUUCUUCUUGUAGUUUGGUUUACCCAUUUUAGGGGUUGAUGUAGUUGAAUUGAUCUUGAUGUUUACAUUUUGAUUAUUAAUCUAUGUUUAUUUUUCAUUAUUAAGUGUUCUCCUCUAUGCAUUAAUGCUUGCUUUUGCUUGAUCAUCCUUUUCUUGAUGUUGUGGUUUGAAUUGUCAGUGAAAAAUGCUUUUGAACUUAGAAAUAAAAAGGAACACCUAAUGGGUUUUGUGUCUAGAGAUAGGACAGAGUUUGUUAGUCAUCUUUUAACUCUUAUUCUUUAUGCAAGUCACUUAGGUAGAUUAGUCAAGGGAUUGAUAGUUUGAUUAAUGGACAUAGAUUCUUUCCAUUCGAGGGAUCGGAGUUUGAGUAUUUUUGUGAGUCGAUGAUUAUAAUUGGGCAUUGAACUAGAUUAGUGACCUAUGUUAGCAUGAGGAAGUGGUUUAGUGAAAUCAGCCCUAACUCUUUUAAUCUUUGUUAUUUUACUUCUUUUUAUCGCACUCCAAGUGUUCAUAAAAAUUACCCAAAAAUAUUUUCUUGUUAUCUUGCUCUUGAAUUUUAUGUUUGUUUCAUUUAUUGCUAUUUAUAUUGUUACAAUCAAAUUAUAAUUGUUGUUUCUGAAAGCCAUAGUUAGUGAAUAUUGUUAUUUUUUCGAGUAUUACGUGAGUCCCUGAGAAUACGAGUGACAACAACGAAAGAGUGAAAGUUCGAGAUAAUGAGAGGGUUUCAAAGUGAGUUAGCGCCAGAGGUUUAGAAAUAUAAAAAAAGAACUAACAUCAGGUUUAUUUUAAAAACCGUUGUUAUCUAGUUAUUUGAUAAAUUGGUUUUCAAAAUUACUAACAACAUAAAUUUUUAAAAAAUAUUUAUAGAAGAUAAUAGAUAAUAGAUAUGUCAAAUAUAAAAUUAAAAUAAUUGUUAUUAGCGGUGUUAUUCACGCGUGUUUUAGCCCAUAUGUUUACAAAUUGCAUGAGUUCGCUCAAUUUCAUAAAUAAUACUAUACUUUUUUUUAUCUCUUAUUUUUGUGAUUAGUAACAAAAGAUAAAAAGCCACCAUAUAUUAAUGUUCUUAAAAAUAAUUGAAUAAAUUGAUAUUAAGAGUUUCUUUAAACUCUUCAUAUCAUAUUCCAUGUAUUCUUUCUCAAUCAUUCUCACUUUCACAAUUUAACUAAGUACCACGCAAUAACAACUGGGGAAAAAAAUUAACAAACGUGAUCUCCAUUCCCAUGCUUAUGUUUAUCUCUAAUCCAAAUUAUACCCAUUAUUGUGCAACAAACUAGACCAAUACAAUCAUAAGAACAAAAAAAGGAUUUAUAAUGCAAACAGAUCUAAGAUUGAUAAAGAGAAAUAGAACACGGUGUAUUUGUAUAAUUUUCAAAACCAACUAUGUGUUCCCUGCAUCCUCUACAAACAAAUGCUGACCAUGUAAUCGAUUACCAGUGACAUGUAAUCGAUUUUGUGUCCCCUUCAAAACUGACUAUGUGUCCCCUUCAAAGAUAUGAUUGUGUAAUCGAUUACCAGAGUCAUGUAAUCGAUUAUCAGUGAAAAAGUUUCAGAAAAUCUUUUGAAACGAUACAUCUCUUCAAACUGUUUUGAAAAUACACAAUGGGUCUAUAUAUAUGUGUGUCCUUACUUCGAAAAGAAGAGAUUUCUCAGAGAACUUAACUUUCAAAACCUCUCUAAACAUCUUUGGCCAAACUCUUGCGAAUUAUUGAGAAUUCUUCUAAGAAUUUCAAGUUGUAUCAUCUGCUCUAAAAGAGAGAAAUCAUUAUGUUCAUCUUAUAAAAUUCAGUUGUAAUCAAGAGAUUGUUUAUCUCUUGACAUGUGAGAAACUCGAACAUAAGGGUAAGGAAUCCCAAGGCGUGUUCAAAGAUUGUAAAGGAUUUACAAAAAUAGUGAAAAAUCUCAAGUGGGUUACCUGAAGACUGGACAUAAGCAUGGAAAGUGGCUGAACCAGAAUAAAUCAAGUUUGUAAUUUUCUAUUCCCUUAUCUCGUUUAUUUUAUUGCAAUUUACUUUAUCUUUACACAUUUAAAGAACAUUGUUAAAUUGACUAUUGCUUUUUCUUCUACAUUCUGAAUCUAUCACAUAUCAUUUAGAAGGGAUUAAACCUUGUUAAUCGAAAUAUUUUUAAGACUUAAUUCAUCCUCCCUCCCCCCCUCCUCUUAAGUUAUUGAGGUCACUUAUUCAACAAAAAAUUAUUUAGAAAUUUUUUAUGUUAAUAUAUAAAUACAUAAAUUAUAAUACAAACAUGAAAACUUUUGAAAACAAUAAAAAAAUUAAUUAAUGUAAUAUUAUUAUAAUGAAGACUUGCAAAUUAGUAUAUAUUUUAUGAUACUUGUUGCUUCACAUAUUAAUUUAAUGAAACAAAAGAAAUUCAAUUUGUUUGCAUAACUAAUUUGUUCCUCUCUUGAUAAACAAAGAAAAUUGUUACUCCCUUCACACUAAAAAAAAAUUACCGUCUUAAGUUAUUUUACAAACACAAAAAUUAAUAAAUAGAAAAAAAAGAAUUGAUAAUUUAUAAAGUUAAUCUUAUAUAAUUUUUAUUUCAUUUAUAGAUUUUAUUGUUCAUUAUUAAUGUUAUAAGAGAUAUAAUUAAGUGAAGAAAAAGAAGAAAAAAAAUCAUUUUGAGAUUUUAUUUUUUAUUUUUACACGAUAAUUAUAAUAAGAGAAAAGAAAUAUCAUGAAAUGAAACUACAUUUACGAUAUAAGGGAUUGACAUAAUUAAUUAUUUCUUCCACAUUUGCCCUUAGUUAACAUAACUUAAAUAAUUAUAUAUGGAUUAUUCCACAACUACUCUCAUCAUAAAUAUCAAAUGAUGAUAUUUUAGGUUAAAUAUAUAGUUUGUAAGUACUAUUAAUUAUUUCUUAAACUUUGUAUAUGAACUUUGAAAAUCAAUAGUUUAGGUCAGGAGAAAAAAAUUUAAUAUAUUUUGGAUUCAAAUGCAAAAGUGACUUAAAUAAGCCUUUAAGAACUUUGGUAGGAGGACUCUUUCAAACAUUCUCUAUAAUGUGUUGUAAUGUAUUUAAAGCUAUAAAAUAAAAAAGAGAUAAUGAUUAAAUACCAUGUGAGAUUCAUAAAAGUUUUCUAUUUUUAGUAAAUUUCAAUCAAGAAGAGAAAUUGUGUUAAAAAAAUGCUCAAGAUCACAUUAUCCUUUAUGAGAAGUAAUCAUAUUCAAGAUGUAGAAAAUUGAUUAUAACUAUGCUGAGUUAUUUUUCCACAUAUAUUAUAAUUACAACCUAUGUCAAAUCAAAAUCAUCAUCUUUGGUAAAUAGUUGCUGAAAUCACCUAUUUGAUAUAUAGUUUUACCUAACCACGUAAUUUGGUAAAAAAAAAUCAUAUAUUUGAAAAAAAUAUUAACAUGUUAAUUGUUUAUUAUUUAGUUUAAAAAGUUUAAGAUAUUGAUUUAUCAAGUUAUUUGACAAAUUGGUUUUCAAAAACUGAUGUUAACUAAUUACUAACAACAUCAAUUUUUUGAAAAUAUUUAUAGAAGAUAAUAGAUAAUAGGUAGAUAAUAGAUAUGUAAAUUAUAAAAUUAAAAUAAUCGUGAUUAGUGGGGUUAGUCACCCUUGUUUUAACCCAUGUGUUUACAAAUUGUAUGGGUUCGCUCAAUUUCAUAAAUAAUCCUCCCCUUACAAUCCAAUUUUGUAUGGUUGAGUUAAGCUUAUGAAAAACCCACUUUUUGAUAUUGUAUGAUGAGCGUGAGGAGAGUUGUGGUAAAAGUCCCAUGAUCCAUCAUCCCCAUGAUUGUUUCUCAGAUUUCGUUAAAUUUCUCUUGAUACUCCUUAUUUUAAUUUUAUUUUUAAAAAAAUAUAAAUUUGUUAAGAUUUCUUAUAUUAAACAUGUUUAAUUUUAUUAUUUAUUUAUAUUUAGUUAGGAUUAAUUUGACAUGUUGGUUCAGUUUAAAGCCAAGAUACAUAAUAAUAUAUAUAUAUAUAUAUAUAUAUAUAUAUAUAUAUAUAUAUAUAUAUAUAUAUAUAAAGCCAUUAUGAACCAUCAAAUUUUCAGCCAAAGAAAAAUUAAAGUUGACAAACCUGGUCUACUUUCACAUUCUAGCCUAUGGGCUGUCCAAUUUGUCUCUGCAUUUUUAUUUAAUUGCACCACUUGUGUCUAUGCAUUUUAUUUAAGUAUGCAACAAAGGCAUAUGUCACUUUGUUUGCGCAAUGUGAAGAGUGAUGGAAGACAAUAAAUUCUAAUUUAUUAGUAAGACAUUAAUUAAAUUAAAAUCGACUAGCUAGAAAAUUCCAAGACUAAAACUGUGAAAGAGAAUAAAAUUAGAAGUUAUCAACCCAAAUAACAUUUCUGAUUUGGUGUAUGCUAAAAGUUGUUUCUUCAUAAACAUCAAAUUUUCACAUUCUAGUCUAUGCGCUGUCCAAUUUGCCUCGUACCUCUAGAAAUAAUUGCACCAAUUGUCUCUAUGCAUUUUAUUCAAGUAUGCAACAAAGGCAUACGUCACUUUGUUUGCGCAAUGUGAAAACAAAGGCAUAUAUGUCACUUUGGAUCCCAUGCAUAUGCUAAAAGUUGUUUCUUCAUAAACAUCGAUCCAUAACUUGUGGAUCCCAUGUAUUUAAUAUAGUAAGACCUGAAUAAGAUGAUUUAAUUAAGAAGACUUUGAUUAAUUAAAAUGUUUAUCCAAAGAAGGUUAGUUACAUGUUCACACACAUAAAACAAUAAUUAACUAGAAAUAUUGUAGUAUGAUUUAACAGAUAUUUAAAAAUUUGAUCCAAUCAUCUAUAUAAGAGGAAGGAGUGGUGUCCGAUAUAAUCACACCAACCAAAGCCACAAAAGAAAAGCAAUAGCAAUAGCAGUAGCAACAGCCCAUAUAAAAUAUAAUGGCAGAAACCUGCGACUCCAACAAUAAAGUGAUCCGUGAAUACCAUCAUGAUGCUUCCUUUAUGUCAAGGUGUGACAUCUUUACUGAUGUUACCGAGUACCAACUGUGUCUGGCAUAUGCCGGAGAAUCUGGUAAAGGAAACUUCGAACCUAAGUGGGACACAGACAAUGUCACUCCCCACCUUAUCGAGCAGUUCAAGCUAAAUUGUGCUGCCUCGAAUCUGCCAGUCAAAGUGUUUGUCAGCAUCGGAGGAGAUGACCCCUUCAAAGUUGCUGCUGGUGGUGCCGAUGAUUGGGUUCUCAAUGCCACAACCACACUCCACCACAUGAUCAACGAGUACCACAUCGAUGGAAUCGAUGUUAACUACACCACAAUCCUGUGCAACAAAAAAUUGUUUGUUAACUGCUUUAAGGAUCUCAUAAGGGGCCUAAGGGAAGCUCUAUGCACCACUGGGUUUGAGGCUUCCUUAGCUCCAGAUGCUGCCACCAAUGAGGCUUUCUACUUGCCCUUGUACCGAUCUAUUGAUACUUCUUGGAUUGGAACUGUUGUGUUUCAGUGCUUCGUUGAUUUCGAACCUAAAGAUCCUAACAGAUCAGUUGAAAUCUUGGUGCGCCAGGUUGAGAAGAUAGUGGAAGAGUAUGAUUAUUAUGACUCUAAGAUCUUGCUUGGCUACAGCGCCAUUAAGGAGGAUUGGAAUAAAGUUUCACCACCCCUCUUCUUUCUUGCUCUCAAUCGCCUAGUGCAUUCUUGGCCUAGGGUUAAGGGCGCAUCUGUCAAGGUUCUUAGUGACACCUAUGCCUUCAUUCCCCCAACGUGGAUCCCUAAACUCCUGUCUUUGGCCGUCUCCGAUCCUGGAAAAUAUCCUUAAUUGAAGAUCCAUAAUUAUUAAGUUCUAUCUAUGCAUUCAUGGCUCUAGCCAUUCUAUAUAUGGAAUAAGACCCAUGCUAUAUCUAUUAAUUGUAUGUGUGUGUUCCUUCUGCCUAUAUCUAUAUAUGUUGUGCGUGCAUUUGAAAAAACAAUGCAUGGCAUGCAUAUUUGUGCUGUGUUAAUGCCUACGUGCAUCUUUGUCUCAUCAAUAAAAUAUAUUAUAUGUCUUUGUGCUUCAUAAAUAUGUGCAUGGGCCUAUUACUAUGAAGCAAAGUUGUAGAAUCAACUCAGACUGGAUUGAUCCUGAAUCAGUGUCUAAACCAAUUUGAGUUAGUAUUUGAAUUACAAUUCAUGCUGCUCAAAUCCACCAACGUUGACCACAUUGGGUUUGGUUAAGAUCGGUGACCCAGCCCAGGUUGAGGAAGCUUUUUAAAUGUUUAAUUGAUAUGCUAUUUAAUAUAAUUUAUAUGUAUUUUGUUAUUAUUUUUAUAUGAAGUAGAUUCUUAUGAGUUUACGAGUCAAAUUCAUUAGUCGAAUUUUUAGAACUUUCACGAGUUUAUGCAGACUCGAUCGAGUUUGAUAACCUUAGUGUCAAGUUUACUUAUGGGAUGAGCUCAUGACCACCCAUUAGUGAAGAUCUCUCUCGAUGUUUUAUCCCUCUCAAUUUACCAACAAUUAUACUUCUCCUAAAAUAAAAUAAUAAAUUAUAAUUCACCUUUAGUAAAAUUUGAAUAAGAAAUAUAUUAAAAAUUAAUAUACUUGCAAUCUUUCAAAAUAUUAUAUGAUCUUAAUAGGUUUAAAUAUGUUUUUAGUCCCCGAAAGUUGUUAUUUUUAAUUUUAAUUCUUAUAAAUUUUUUGUUUAUUUUUAGUCCUUAUAUUGUAAGUUUAUGUUUUUUCAAUUUUAGUCCCUUUAAUAUUUUAAUUUAUUCAUUUGUAAACUGCAUAAGUUCAUGCUUAAUUACAAUGACCAAAAUUAUAUUGUAAAAUUACAAAUUUACAGGGACUAAAAAUUAAAAAAAAAUUACAAGGAACAAAAUUGAAAAAACACAAACUUACCAAAACUAAAUAUGAAUAAUUUUUUCACAAAGAUCAAAAUUUAAAAAAAAAUACAAACUUACAAAAAUAAAAAUGUAUUUAAGUUAUAAUCAAUGAUAUUGAGUUAAAAUCAUGAUUUAGACAUUCUUAAAUCAUCUUUUCAUGUCUGAUAUCAGAAAAAAAAAUUAAAAAAAUAUUGUUUAGAUUCUUUGAAUGAAAAUUGAUUUUGAGGGUGUAAUGACCAAAAUGGAUUUUAAUGUCUAUGUACACUCAAUUUUCUAUUAUAAUUAGUUAUAUAUAUAUAUAUAAUUAAAAUUAAAUAGACAUAAUUAAAAUUAAGACAAUAUGUGUAUAAUAUGCUAACUUUUGAAAUAGAACAACAUCUCUUAUAAAAAUAAUUAAAUUGAAUGAAAUAGAUAAUAAAAGUAUUAACUCGACAUAAGCAUCUUAAAAAUUGUUUUUUAUAACACACAUUCUAAGAUGAUUAUAAGGAAUCGUAUUAAAAGAAUAAAAAAUAUUUAUCAAAAAAUCACUUGGAUAGGAUUGGAUGAAUUAAAAAAUUAAAUAAAUAGAUAACAAUCUAUCUAUUCUCAUUUUCAAAUUUAAUGGAUCAUCCAAUUAACACUAUAGAAUAAAACAAGUUAAACAUAAUUUUUUUUAUAUUUCAAUUUUCUUUAAAUUUAUUUUAAAAAAUAUUUUUCCAUAUAUUAUUUUUAGUACUUAUUCAUAGGAGUCUCUAUCAGAUGGAAUAAUUCAUGUACUUGAAUUGACCAAAACCCUUUAAUAUGAAUUUUGUUAUUAUUUGGGUAGAAGUCAAAUCUAUAUUUCAAAUAAAUAAGAAAGUGUUAAUAACCGUUAUUUAAUUUUAAAAAGUUUUAGGUAUUAAUUUGGUAAAACAAAAAAAAUAUUUCUUAAAUGUUAAUUUUAGAAAGAAUAGUCCAAACGAACACUUUCGGUUCUUUAGUCAUGUAGAUUAAUUUACCACAAUGACAACUCACAAAUUUAUUCUGUGGAUUUCAUACAUAAAUUAAAACUCCGGAAGAAAAAAAAAUAUGGCAAUGAUAAUUGAUAUGCAGAACUAGAACUAUUAAUUAGUGUUAUUGACCUAAGUUUUAGCCCAUGUUUGCAAAUUGUAUGAGUUUGCUCAAUUUUACAAAUAAUACUAUAGUUUUUUAUAUCUCUUAUUGUUGUGAUUAGUAACAAAAGAUAAAAAAGCUAUAGAUUAAGGUUCUUCAAAAUAAAUUGAAUAAGUGGAUAUUGAGAAUUUCUUUAAACUCUUCGCAUUAUAUUCCGUGUAUUUUUUUCUCAAUUAUUUCCACUUUCACAAUUUAAUUACCACGCAAAAAAUUGGGAAAAGAAACACUUGACCCCAUGUAUAUGUUUAUCUCUAAUUAACCCAAAUUAUACCCAUUAAUUAUUGUGCUGCAAACUAGACCAAAAAAUCGUAAGAAUAAAAAGUUAAAAAGGAUAUAUAAUGCAAGCAUAUGUAGAUUGAGAAAGAAGAAAAAGAAAACAGUGUAUUUGUAUAUUUUUCAAAAUCGAACAGCUAGCUAAAGGUUGGAAAUAAAAUUUAGAGUAAAGUAUACAGGCACUUACUGAGAUUUCGUUAAAUUUCUCUUGAUACUCCUUAUUUUAAUAAUUUUUUUAAAAAUAUAUAUAUAAAUUUGUUAAGAUUUCCUAUAUUAAACAUGUUUAAUUUUAUUAUUUAUUUAUAUCUAGUUAGGAUUAAUUUGACUUGUUGGUUCAGUUUAAAGUCAAGAUACAUAAAAAAUAAUAUAUAUAUAUAUAAAGCUAUUAUGAACCAUCAAAUUUUCAGCCAACGAAAAAUUAAAGUUGACCAACCUGGUCUAGUUUCACAUUCUAGCUUAUGCGCUGUCCAAUUUGCCACGUACCUCGACCUGGAAAUAAUUGCACCAAUUGUCUCUAUGCAUUUUAUUUAAGUAUGCAAGAAAGGCAUAUGUCACUUUGUUUGCGCAAUGUGAAGAGUGAUCGAAGACAAUACAUUCUUAUUUAUUAGUAAGACUUUAAUUAAAUUAAAAUCGACUAGAAAAUUCCAAGACUACAAGUGUGAAAGAGAAUAAAAUUAGAAGUUAUCAGCCCAAAUAACAUUUCUGAUUUGGUAUAUGCUAAAAGUUGUUUCUUCAUAAACAUCGAUCCAUAACUUGUGGAUCCCAUGUAUUUUCUUAUUCUUUAAUUUACUAGUUUGCUUAAGUUUAAUGGUCUAUUUAUACUAAUUAAGUUCGCUUGAUUAAUUUUUAAAUUUGUUUAAUCAAAUAUCCAUCAAUUGACCAAUUACUUUUUCUAUCUAUUUUUUUUUAUAGGCAAUGCAAUAUAAUUUUAUUGAAUGUGGAUAUAUUUUAUUGAUGCAUAUAUACAAUAAUCGAAAGCAAAUGAAGCACAAAGAGAUACAAUAUAUUUUAUUGAUGAGAGAAAGAUGCACGUAGGCAUUAACACACCACAAAUAUGCAUGCCAUGCAUUGUUAUUUCAAAUGCACGCACAACAUAUAUAGACAUAGGCAGAAGGAACACACACAUACAAUUAAUAGAUAUAGCAUGGGUCUUAUUCCAUAUAUAGAAUGGCUAGAGCCAUGAAUGCAUAGAUAGAACUUAAUAAUUAUGGAUCUUCAAUUAAGGAUAUUUUCCAGGAUCGGAGACGGCCAAAGACAGGAGUUUAGGGAUCCACGUUGGGGGAAUGAAGGCAUAGGUGUCACUAAGAACCUUGACAGAUGCGCCCUUAACCCUAGGCCAAGAAUGCACUAGGCGAUUGAGAGCAAGAAAGAAGAGGGGUGGUGAAACUUUAUUCCAAUCCUCCUUAAUGGCGCUGUAGCCAAGCAAGAUCUUAGAGUCAUAAUAAUCAUACUCUUCCACUAUCUUCUCAACCUGGCGCACCAAGAUUUCAACUGAUCUGUUAGGAUCUUUAGGUUCGAAAUCAACGAAGCACUGAAACACAACAGUUCCAAUCCAAGAAGUAUCAAUAGAUCGGUACAAGGGCAAGUAGAAAGCCUCAUUGGUGGCAGCAUCUGGAGCUAAGGAAGCCUCAAACCCAGUGGUGCAUAGAGCUUCCCUUAGGCCCCUUAUGAGAUCCUUAAAGCAGUUAACAAACAAUUUUUUGUUGCACAGGAUUGUGGUGUAGUUAACAUCGAUUCCAUCGAUGUGGUACUCGUUGAUCAUGUGGUGGAGUGUGGUUGUGGCAUUGAGAACCCAAUCAUCGGCACCACCAGCAGCAACUUUGAAGGGGUCAUCUCCUCCGAUGCUGACAAACACUUUGACUGGCAGAUUCGAGGCAGCACAAUUUAGCUUGAACUGCUCGAUAAGGUGGGGAGUGACAUUGUCUGUGUCCCACUUAGGUUCGAAGUUUCCUUUACCAGAUUCUCCGGCAUAUGCCAGACACAGUUGGUACUCGGUAACAUCAGUAAAGAUGUCACACCUUGACAUAAAGGAAGCAUCAUGAUGGUAUUCACGGAUCACUUUAUUGUUGGAGUCGCAGGUUUCUGCCAUUAUAUUUUAUAUGGGCUGUUGCUACUGCUAUUGCUAUUGCUUUUCUUUUGUGGCUUUGGUUGGUGUGAUUAUAUCGGACACCACUCCUUCCUCUUAUAUAGAUGAUUGGAUCAAAUUUUUAAAUAUCUGUUAAAUCAUACUACAAUAUUUCUAGUUAAUUAUUGUUUUAUGUGUGUGAACAUGUAACUAACCUUCUUUGGAUAAACAUUUUAAUUAAUCAAAGUCUUCUUAAUUAAAUCAUCUGAUUCAGGUCUUACUAUAUUAAAUAAGAAUAAUAAUAAUCAUUUCGAAAAAUUAAAGAAUAAGAAAAUACAUGGGAUCCACAAGUUAUGGAUCGAUGUUUAUGAAGAAACAACUUUUAGCAUAUGCAUGGGAUCCAAAGUGACAUAUAUGCCUUUGUUUUCACAUUGCGCAAACAAAGUGACGUAUGCCUUUGAUUUUUAUGUGAAACUAGACCUGCAGGUUGGUCAACUUUAAUUUUUCUUUGGCUGAAAAUUUGAUGGUUCAUAAUGGCUUUAUAUAUAUAUAUUUUUAUGUAUCUUGGCUUUAAACUGAACCAACAAGUCAAAUUAAUCCUAACUAAAUAUAAAUAAAUAAUAAAAUUAAACAUGUUUAAUAUAGGAAAAAUUAAGAAAUUUAUAUUAAUAAAAAACAAUUAAAAUAAGGAGUAUCAAGAGAAGUUUAACGAAAUCUCAGUAAGUAUUUGUAUACUUUACUCUAAAUUUUAUUUCCAACCUUUAGCUAGCUGUUCGGUUUUGAAAAAUAUACAAAUAUACUGUUUUCUUUUUCUUCUUUCUCAAUCUACAUAUGCUUGCAUUAUAUAUCCUUUUUAACUUGUUUUUUAUUCUUACGAUUUUUUGUUCUAGUUUGCAGCACAAUAAUUAAUGGGUAUAAUUUGGGUUAAUUAUAGAUAAACAUAUACAUGGGUAUAAUUUGUACAUCAUGACAUAAUACUCUGCUGCUUUUAUCUCUGAUACUUCAACAUCAAGAUGUGUGUUUAGAUUGAUGUGUGAACUAUUUGCCUGUGAUUUAUAGGCUUGGAAACUUAUGCCUGUGAUUCUUACAUUGAAGGCUUGAAUCACAAGAUGUGUGCUUAGAUUCAUGUGUGAACUAUUUGGUGCAGGUUGGACUCUGAUUGCUCCUUUGUCCACUUGGUUCCAAUGUUGUAAUUAGAACAGCAUUGUCCUUUGUCCACUAAAUAGUUUUACUUUUACCUAAUUACUUUUCUUUUUCUUUUCAUUUAAAGCUGCGAGAGUACAUUGAUGAUCCUGAAUAUUAUAUUAAUAUUCAAGUAAGUAGCUAGCAAUUUACUGAAAAUAUAUCAAUUGGUAUAUGGUGAAUGACAUGAAAUUCUAUUGUAAUUAAUAUUAAAUUUUAAUUUAAUAAUUAAUAUUUAAAUGAUAGAUUAAAUAUAAAUAAUACUUAAACCUCUUAUUUUUAUUUAAUCUAUCAUUUAAAUAUUAUUUAUUAAAUAAAUUUUAUCAUUAAUAUUAAUUAUAGUAUUGAUAAUAUUGUAAUUAUAAAUAUUGAUUUAUUGAUUAUUAGCAAUAUUGAUAAUAUUAAAAAUAUAAAAAAUGACCAUUAAUAAAUCAAUUUUUAAUUACAGGUUAUUAAAUAUUUAACAUCAUUUCUUAACUGAACACUGAUGUGAAAAAACAAUAUUUUACAUCGUUCACUAAGAUAACACCGAUGUAAAAUGUUUAAUUUCUACAUCGUUUAUUAACUGAGCACCGAUGUGGAAAAACACUAUUUUACAUCGUUCACUAAGAUAACAUCGAUGUAGAAGGUCUAAUUUCUACAUUGUUCCUUAACUGAGCACCAAUGUGGAAAUGCGCUAUUUUACAUCGUUCACUAAGAUAACACCGAUGUAGAAGGUCUAAUGUCUACAUCGGUGGUCAGGAAAGCACUGUUGUAGAAAACGUUGUCUUUCUACAACGGUGGUUUGGGGACCGAUGUUGAAACUUCUAACUUUCAACAACAUCCUAUUCAACAUCGGUUGAUCACCGAUGUAAAAUGUGGUUUUCCACCGAUGUGAAAACUAUGUUUUCUAGUAGUAUUUGUCUCAUCAAUAAAAUAUAUUGUAUCUCUUUGUGCUUCAUUUGCUUUCGAUUAUUGUAUAUAUGCAUCAAUAAAUAUAUUAUCAACUAAAUUAAUCAUUUCGAUUAAUCUUAAUGAAUUAGGUAAUUUGAAUGACCAUUCAUGCUACUCAAAUCCAUCAACGUUGACUUGAUUGGGUUUUGUUAAGAUCGGUGACCCAACCCACGUUGAGCAAGUUUUUUAAAUGUUUAAUUGGUAUGCUAUUUAAUAUAAUUUAUAUGUAUUUUGUUAUUAUUUUUAUAUGCAGUAGACUCUUAUUAUUUAUUAGUCGAGUCUUUAGACCAAAAUGGAUUUUAAUGACUAUGUACACUCAAUUUUCUAUUAUAAUUAGUUAUAUAUAUAUAUAUAUAAUUAAAAUUAAAUAGACAUAAUUAAAAUUAAGACAAUAUGUGUAUAAUAUGCUAACUUUUGAAAUAGAACCACAUCUCUUAUAAAAAAAUUAAAUUGAAUAAAAUAGAUAAUAAAAGUGUUAGCUCGACAUAGGCAUCAAACAUAAGUUUAUCUAAAAUAGACAAAAUGCAUUCAAAAUUAAACAAAUAUAGCAAGACUUUCAAUUUACAUAUAUAUAAUUAUAUUUUUAAAAUCAAUAAAUAACAAACAUAUGCAUGAGUGUAUUGAUGAGAGGGUAGGGUAAAUUAGGCAAAAAUUCACUAAAAUUCAUUUUUGGUAGAAGUCAAAGUUACUUGCUUCAACUCCACCAUAAUUUUUCAUCAAAAGAUUCAACUAAGAUAAUCAAACAUGCAAAAUUUUUGUCAAAAACAAAUUUGACACACCUCACCAUAAUAAACCAUGAUUUUGAGGUCAAUCCAAACACACUACACUGAGUUAUAAAUCCAAGAGUGUGUUUUCAUCUACAUGAAACAUCACAAUGCUAGUGAUUAUGUUGGAUGGGGGUGAGGGGAUAGGAGUCAUUUUAUUUAAUGACUGAAUUUUGAAAUUGUCUAGUAGCAUUAACGAAACACAAAUGGAUCCUCUGCAAUGACAUUAAUUACUACUAUGGAUAAUUCUAACUUUUUAUGACAAUUGACUUAUAUUAUUUCCAUACGAAAAAAAAUCAACAAUAUAAUUUGGAACAUGACUAAAAUAACGGGGAUCAACAGGAGAAUUUAGAGCUCAAGCAAGACAGUGAGUCACCGAGUUCACUUGUCUCCUGACAAAACAAUCUCAAAAGUUUGGUAGAUCAUGUAGCAUAGUCAGAUAGUUUCAUAAGAUCUCACCAUAUUCUAAUUUACCUAAGUGAUAGUUAUACACUCCAUUCUCCACUUGAAGGCAAUCAGAUUCAAUAAUGAUAUCAUCAAUCCCAGAUCUUUGAGCAUUGUAAGGCUACCAACAUGGCUAGGGCCUUCCUUUCAUGAGACCCAUUUGACCCUAUUUAAGCUCCAAGGAUGCAAAUAAAAGGUAGAUAAUUGGUUGGGGGACUAUUUAGGGUUUGAGGUUGCAGGUGCAAAGCUCUCCCUUACCCUCCAUGGCUUUCCUACCAUUUCUCAUUAUCUAUUUUCUUCUUGUAGUUAGGUUUACCCAUUUUAUGGGUUGAUGUAGUUGAAUCCAUCCAGAUGUUUACAUUUUGAUUAUUAAUCUAUGUUUAUUUUUCAUUAUUGAGUGUUAUCCUCUAUGCAUUAAUGUUUGCUUUGGCUUGACCACCCUUUUCUUGAUGUUGUGGUUUGAAUUGUCAGUGGAAAAUGUUUUUGAAUUUAGAAAUAAAGAGGAACACUUAAUGUGUUUUGUGUCUAGAGAUAGAACAAAGCUUGUCAUUUGGGUGGAUUAGUCAAGGGAUUGAUAGUUUGAUCAAGGGACUUAGAUUCUUUCCAUCCGAGGGACCAGGGUUUGAGUAUUUUUGUGAGUUGAUGAUUAUAAUUGGGCUUUGAACUAGAUUAGUGACCUUUGUUAGCAUGAGGAGGUGGUUUAGUGAAAUCAACCCUAACUCUUUUUUUAUUCAUUGUUAUUUUACUUCUUUUUAUCGCACUCCAAGUGUUUUUAAAAGUUUCCCAAAAAGAGUUUCUUGUUCUUUUUCUCUUGAACUUUAUGUUUAUUUCAUUUCUUGCUAUUUAUAUUGUUACAAUCAAAUUCUAAUUGUUGUUUCUGAAAGCCAUAAUUAAUCAAUAUAUCUAUUUUUUCGAGUAUUACGCAAGUCCGUGUGAAUACAAGAAUGGCAACAACAAAAGAGUGAAGGUUCGAGAGAAUGAGAGGGUUCGAAAAUGGGUUAGUGCCAGAGGUUUAGAAAUAUUAGAAAAAAUUAAGUAACAUCAGUUUUAUCUAAAAAUCAAUGUUAUAUACUAAUUUGACAAAUCGGUUUUCAAAACCGAUGUUAGCUAAUUACUAACAACAUCGGUUUUCAAAAAAUCGAUGCUAAAAUUGUACUAGCAACAUUAGUUUUCAAAAAACCGAUGUUAAGUUUUUGGUAGUAACAUUGGUUUUCGAAAAUCGAUGUUAAGAAGCUUCAGGUAUUUACAAAAAUGUCACCGCAUAUAAUUUAACAUCAAUUUUUCUUGUAACCGAUAUUAAAUUGGCGAUGUUGAAUGCAUAUUUUGUUAUAGUGUGGGUUAUCUUCAAAAUCUAACCCUUUAUGUACACAUAUUUAUGGGUCAUAUGGUCCAUGGACAUUGCCUUUUUAAUUAAGGGAAUGUUAAUAUGAAAUUACACGAUAGUAAGUCCUUGAUAAUAUUGAUUGGAUUAUGUUAACAUAAACUAUAUUCUUUAAUCUUCACAAAAAUGACAAGUAUAUAUGUAUUAAGAAAGUCGACGUCUAUUCAGCCCUAUAAAGGGAUAAAGUCCACUCAGUCUUCAAUAUGAUCGAAGGGUAUUCGUCCAUACAAUACACAUGCCCUCUAAUCCUCAAUUCAUUAAGAGGACAAAUUAGAUUACUAUUAGCCAAUAUCAUACAAAGCAUAUUCUUUUCUCUAGUAUUUUAGAGUGUGUUAUGUAUUAGCGGGUACUAAUGACCAUUUGGUCUUUUGUAGGACCAAUCAUUCAUCAAAGGGUACUCGUCCAUAUGGUACCUUGCUCCCUAAGCCAAUAAGUCCUUAAGAAAAUGAAGAAUCUUGAUGUAAUUGUCUUAUGCCAAAAGGUUUUCAUCCCUUCUUAUGAUUGUUGUACUCAAAGGUGCUUGAUUUUCUCUAGAUGUCUCACGUGUUGUAUCUGGCGGCGUGUUAGGAUGUGUUGCUUCAUUUUGCAGGUAUAAUUAUGAUCGUUGUAAGUUUAGGACAUGAAGCGACGCUUUUUUUCUAGACCAUUGAUCUCACAUGAUCCAAUGUUUGGGAAUAAUUGCAAUAUUUGAGCCUUCAUAGGCCCAAACUCUAUGUAUACCCCUUUCUCGUCCUUCUCCUUCCACACUUCAUUUUCUCAAACUUCAUCUUUCUUGUUUAUGUAGCCAAGAAGCCAAGCACUCGUUUCUUUUUAGGAUGUAGUUAUUCGUUUACUCAUUUACAUUAAUUACUUUUUCAUCUAUUUAUUUCCUAUUUUUCUAUUUAAUUAAAUGUCAACUUUAUCGUGAAGAUUAUUUAAUUAAAUGUCACAUUUGAUUUUCACACAUGUUUUAAAAUAAUUUAUAAGUGGUUGAGUAAGAUACAUGUUGUAAACCUCCUGAUAAAUGUCUUUGAUUCCUACAAAUAAAAAAGUCACAAUUAUUAUUUUUAUUUCCUUUCCAAUAAUUUUUUCAGAAAUUUUUUAUUUAUUCUAUGAUUAUAGUAAUUACAUGCUCAAAUAUGAACAUUUGAGUGUUUAAUUCUAUUAAUUUGUUUAAAAAUUAUAAUAAUAAUAAUUUUAAUACUAUUAUCACAAUUUUAACUUUAUUAGUCUUUUACUUAGUGAAUUUUAUAAUCUAUGAAAAUAUUGUGCAUGUGUAUUUCUAGAAGUAGACGGGAAAGAAUGUUUCUUAGAACAAAUAGACACUUGUAACUUAUAGGAAAAACUAUAUAGUAUAAAAAUAAAAAAUAAAAAUACACUCAUAUUUUUUUAAAAUAUUUAUGAAUAAAAUCAUAAAAAAUAUUUCAUACAUUUACAAUAUCGUCAAAAUAAAAAAAAAUCAAAUUAUGUUGUUUCUCCAAUAAUAAUAGAUAAAUAAAAACACACACACUCAUAUAUAUAUAUAUAUAUAUACAUACUAGUAUUAGAGCCCGUGCAAUGCACAUGCAAACUGAUCUAUUGUAAAUUAUUACAAAUUGUAAUUAUUAUAUGAUUGAAUUUAAAGAAAAACUAAUUUUACAUUGUAUUGCUAGGUUACAGUUGAGACUACUAAUCCUACAUCAAAACAUGCUUCUUCGAUAUUAUUGUGUUACAGUGAUAUAGAAUAACAUUUCUUCUUUUAAACUUUAUUUGUUUAAAAAGGGUGUUCCCAAGAGGACUGAGGAGAUUGAGUUUGUUGAUACUGCACAUUUUCUUGAGCUUUCAACACCAGAAAUGUUGCAUGGACUAUAGGUACCAUGAUCUUGUUGUUAUUUCUUCUGAUAUUUAAUAUAUUACCUUGAAUUUAAGCUUCUUUGCACAAAUUACAUACAAAUGCAAUUGUUGUAUUAACUUGUUUUACAAAAUUUGUGCUUAUACUCCAAAAAUGCAAAAUAACAAUUCAAUAUGUGUAAAACUAUUUUGAAUAAUUGAAGUACUAAUACAUGAGUAAUAUACUUUACCAAUUGAAGACCAAAGUUAAGCUGAUUGUUGAGGAUGUAUUUCAUAUUCCGCAUUAUGAAAAUUGUAUCUAUAGUUGACAUAUUUCUGUCCGUAAAUUAAGUAUAAAUUUUCUCAUUGGCUUUAAAUAUAAAUUUCAUAUUUUUACAUAAUUUACUGGGAGAAGAAGAGAAAAGAAAAACUCAACCUCAUAAUUUUACUUAUAAAUUCUAGACAUUAAUUUGACUUAUACUUGAUAUUUUAAAUAAAAUAAAAUAUUCAAUGAAUUAGUUAAGUGAAAAGAAAAUAAGCAAGAAAUAAGUUAAUUUUAGAUGUUAAUUUUAUUUAUACUUUUAUGUUAAAUAAAAUCAGAUAUUCAAUAAAUUAGUUAAGUGAUAAGAUACUAAGCAAGAAAGAAAAAUAAUUAUUUACACAAUUCUCAUUCAUUAUAUUUUAUUCAUAUUCUCUAUAAUAAAUAACACAAAGUAAUUAAAAAAUUAUUUAAGCUAAAAAACCAUUUAUAUUAUCAUAAUUUCAUUGAUUCAAAUUUCUCUUAGUUAUGGAAUUAUAUAUGUAUUAAAUAGGAAAAAAUUUACUCCUCAGUAAUUAAAUAUAGUUUUUUUGAAUAACAAUUCAAUAUGUGUAAAACUAUUUUGAAUAAUUGAAGUACUAAUACAUGAGUAAUAUACUUUACCAAUUGAAGACCAAAGUUAAGCUGAUUGUUGAGGAUGUAUUUCAUAUUCCGCAUUAUGAAAAUUGUAUCUAUAGUUGACAUAUUUCUGUCCGUAAAUUAAGUAUAAAUUUUCUCAUUGGCUUUAAAUAUAAAUUUCAUAUUUUUACAUAAUUUACUGGGAGAAGAAGAGAAAAGAAAAACUCAACCUCAUAAUUUUACUUAUAAAUUCUAGACAUUAAUUCAAUAUACUUUACCUUGAAUUUACUUGUUGUUAUUUCUUCUGAUAUUUAAUAUAUUACCUUGAAUUUAAGCUUCUUUGCACAAAUUACAUACAAAUGCAAUUGUUGUAUUAACUUGUUUUACAAAAUUUGUGCUUAUACUCCAAAAAUGCAAAAUAACAAUUCAAUAUGUGUAAAACUAUUUUGAAUAAUUGAAGUACUAAUACAUGAGUAAUAUACUUUACCAAUUGAAGACCAAAGUUAAGCUGAUUGUUGAGGAUGUAUUUCAUAUUCCGCAUUAUGAAAAUUGUAUCUAUAGUUGACAUAUUUCUGUCCGUAAAUUAAGUAUAAAUUUUCUCAUUGGCUUUAAAUAUAAAUUUCAUAUUUUUACAUAAUUUACUGGGAGAAGAAGAGAAAAGAAAAACUCAACCUCAUAAUUUUACUUAUAAAUUCUAGACAUUAAUUUGACUUAUACUUGAUAUUUUAAAUAAAAUAAAAUAUUCAAUGAAUUAGUUAAGUGAAAAGAAAAUAAGCAAGAAAUAAACCAAACAAAUAUUUCCAUUAAUCUCAUUAGUUAUAUUUUAUUCAUAUUCUUCCGUAAAAAAAUAUUUUAUUUGUAUUCUCCACAUUAAGUAAAACAAAGUAUUAAAAAAAAUAGUUAAGUUAAAAAAACCUUAUAUGAGUAAGAAUAUAAUAAAUAAGAAAUACAUCAUUUGCCUAUAAUUUGAUUUUAGCUACUAAUUUUAUUUAUACUUUCUAUGUUAAAUAAAAUCAGAUAUUCAAUAAAUUAGUUAAGUGAUAAGAUAGUAAGCAAGAAAGAAAAAAAAUUAUUUACACAAUUCUCAUUCAUUAUAUUUUAUUCAUAUUCUCUAUAAUAAAUAACACAAUGUAUUCAACAAAUUAGUUAAGCUAAAAAAAAAAAUUUAUAGUAUCAUAAUUUAAUUGAUUCAAAUUUCUUAGUUUUGUAAUUAAAUAGAAAAAAAUUUACUCCUCGGUAAUUAAAUAUAGUUUUUUUCUUUAAAAAAAUAUUUUUCUUCUUUUUUAUUUUAUAUAUAAUUUCUAUCUUUGACAAAAAAUUUAUUCUCAUAUAUUAAGUAAUGAUAUUCUUACUUGCUUUUAAGAAUCAUCUUUAUAUUUUAUAUUUAUUUUUUAUCUUUAGUAAAAAAGUUACUCCCCUUAAAUUAAAUAUAAAUUUUUUUAUUUGGUUUUAAAAUGAUCAUCUUUAUAUUAGGAUAGUAUUUGAGUUCAAAAAUAAUUUCUGAUCAGACUUUAUUUACCCUCAGUUGAACUCCAGAUUAGUCAAGACUCAUUUCCUCUUAUGAAUUGGAGGAUUAAUACCAGAAAAAAGUUAAAUUAAUACUUUAUAUUUGAAUAUAUAAUUUCUAACUUUAGUUGAAAUAUUCCUUUCAGUAAAUUAAGUAUAGAUUUUCUUACUUGCUUUUAAAAUAAAUUUAAUAUUUUUUUUUUAUUUUAUAUGUUAUUUCUAUCUUUAAGAAAAAAUUUCAUCUCGACAAAUUAAGUAUAAAUUUUGUUACUUGUCAUCUUAAAAAUAUCAUUUUCAUAUUUUUUAAAUAAUUCACCGGGAGAAGAAGAGGAAAGAAAAAUCUCACCUCAUAAUUUUACAUAUAAAUUUUAGACAUUAAGUUGUAGUUAUACUUGGUAUUUUAAAUAAAAUAUAAUAUUCAUUGAAUUAGUUAAGUGAAAAGACAAUAAGAAGGAAAUAAACCAAAAAAACAUUUGCAUUAAUCUCAGUAGCUAUAUUUUAUUCUUAUUCUACCUGAAACAUCACAAUGCUAGUGAUUAUGUUGGAUGGAGGUGAGGGGGUAGGAGUCAGUUUUAUUUAAUGAAUGAAUUUUGAAAUUCUCUAGUAACAGUAGUGAAACACAAAUGGAUCCUCUGCAAUGAUGUUAAUUACUACUAUAGAUAAUUGUAACUUUUUAUUAUAUUCUAAUUUUUAUGACAACUGACUUAUAUUAUUUCAAUACGAAAAAAAUCAGCAAUACAAUUUGGAACAUGUCUAAAAUAAUGGGGAUCAACUUGAGAAUUCAGAGCUCGAUCAAGAGAGUGAGUCACCGAGUUCGCUUGUCUCCCUACAAAACAAACCCAAAAGUUUUGUAAAUCACGUAGCAUAAUACGACAGUUCGAUAAGAUCACACCAUAUUUCGAUUUAUCUGAGCGACAGUUAUAUACUUCAUUCUCCACUUGAAGGCAAUCAGAUUCAAUAAUGAUAUCAUCAAUCUCCAAAUCUUUGAGCCAUUGUAAGGCUACCAACAUGGCUAGGGCCUUCCUUUCAUGAAUCAACAGUUUAAACGGGGAAGUGUGAGAUAAAGCCAUGACAAAUUGACCUCUAUCAUCCCUGAUAAACACAACCAACUUAAAAGAAUUUUCCUCUUUGACAAAAGCAACACCAAUAUUGCAUUUUAAAGUCCCUAGAGGAGGAGGUUCCCACCUUACUACCAUCAGAUUUGCAGUGGGUCUUAAGUAUGCCUUCUCAAUCACUCGAACUUUUCUCCAAUUGUCAAAAAACUCCUAAGCUUGAUGUACCUUAGGCUCAGCGCGCAAUCACUUACAACAAUUCUACUUUACAUAUAGGCUUCGUGCGACAUGCUAGGCUAAGUGUGCAGACAAUUAUGCAGAAACAACAGUGCAAUGCAUUUGACCCUAUUUAAUCUAUGUUUAUUGUUCAUUAUAAAAACCGUCUUUGAUCCCAAAGGUCAUUUUUAAUUAUUUUAUUUAUUUUCUCUUUCAUUAAUUCACAACAACAACACGAUGAACCUAAAGCUAAAAAGCUUCGAGAAAUGGGAUGCUCCUGAGGAGAACGGCAGAGAAGGAUGCAGUUCUUUUCGGAGAAAGAAAAUCAAGAAACACACCCUGGAGAAGGGAACGCUCUAGAGAAGAACCCUCACUGUGUCGCCAUGGUGUUGCCAGAGAAGGACGUAGGGGGCCGUCAAUUUCUUUUGCCGUUGUGGUAUUGUCAGAGAAGAAGCCUGUCGAGGACGUGCGACACAGAGUGAAGAAGACCAUGAAGCGGUAACCUCACUCACUCUCUCUCUCUCUCUCUCUCUCUCUCUCUCUCUCUCUAUUUUCCAAGUUUUCACUUCCACUUAGGGUUAGGUUUCUCUCUCUCUUCAAUUCUUUAGGUUUUUCUUUCUGUUUCUUCCUUUUCAUUCAAUUUUUAGGGGUUGUGUAACUGUAAUUGCAGAAAAUUGGUUCACGAUGGGCAUUAGUAUUAUGUGAUGGUAAAAAAAUGUGUGACACGGAAUGGUGUUUGUGCCAUAGCUUUUAUGUGGCAGUCAUAAUCUGACCUUGUGAGUGUAUUGCAGUGAGCUUUAUAUUAAAGCAUCUUCAAAAGGACGACCCUCUACAAUCAGGGAGGUUAAAGCUUUGAACAUUGGUCAACUUGUAAGAAUUUCUGGUAUUGUUUGGGUUUCGACUUUCAGGACAUGACUUGUAUCAAAUAAUUUUUUUUUGCUCUAUAUAUUGUUUAAUCCAUGAUUUGUGAUAAUUUUCUUAAUGUACUUCCAUUUAAACUUCAGAUUUGAGUAUCAUUGUUAUCAGUUUCAUACUCCUUUGUAUGAAAAUUACUAAUCUUUUAUUAAAGACAAAAAGUUCAAGCUUCAUAAUUAUAUCAAUCUGUUAAUUCUGUACAAGUUCUAUAAGGCUACAUCUAUAUGGAAUUCCAAUUAGUUGAUGGUAAUGAUGAUAUGGGAGUUUCUGGGGAUGUGGGUUUGAGUACGUAUGAAGUUCAGAUGCAUCAAGAAACAUAUGAAGGUGUGCUAUUCUAAUCAUUUAAAUUUUUAUAUGGAAUUCUGAAUGAAUAAAAAAAUUAGGCAUGUCAUGUAUAAAGCUUUGCAUCCUGUUUAUGACUUUAUGUUGUGGGCACUAUUCAUUUGUUUAAUGUUUGUUUUGCAUCCACACUGUCUCUCUGGCUUAUUCAUAUAAUUGAUUUUGUAAUUUGUGCCUGCAGAAUUUCAGCAGGAAGUGACAGAAUUUCAGGUUCAAUUCAUGUUCUCUACAUAGUUCUGUCAUGCUUAUUGUUGUCAAAUUGUUCUGAUUAUAAUUUUGUAUAGUAUGGGCAUUUGAUACAGAGACAGAGUGCUGGUCACUCAUGGAGACUCAGUGAUAGAAAUUGCUCUUGUGCAUUGUUACUAUUUUGAUAUUAUAUUACAUAUUUUUGUUCCAUCAUGCUAUUAUUGAUUAAUUAAAAUGUAAAAAAAUAAAAUAAAAGAACCAUUAUUACAUGCUGAAUGGUGAAUUCUACUUAAAGUUUUUUUUCCAUUACUAUCUGUUGUUUAUAUAUGUCCAGUGAUUUUUUCCAUUACGUGUUUGCUUGAUUCUAUGUUCCUUUUCCCGUUAUAUAUCCUUUCAAAUGGUAGGAAUAUAGUGCUGAAUUGGGAGAUACCAAAAAAGUGUACGAUGUACUUUACUUGUCUUUUUAUUUUUUUAUUUUUUAAUACUAUUCUUUAAAUUUAGUUAAUCUCAAUGUGUCCCGUUAUUAAUUCCUAAAAUAUUUUGUAUCUAUAAAGUUGAAGUUUGUAAAUUUAUAUUUUAACAUAUAUCAAAUUAAUAGCUCUCAUGAGUAAAUGCAGGUUUGUCGGAAAUUGUAGCUUCUUUAUCUUUGAGAAAAUGCAGGUAUGUUGGAAAUUGUAGCUCUCAUGCUCACAGAGGAAGUGUCUCCCAGUGAACAACCUGAUCUUUUUCUUCAAUUAGCUUUAACUUCAACAUUCUUUGCUGGGAUCUUUCAAGCCGCUCUUGGAAUUCUAAGGUAAUUAAUUCCUUAUUAGCAUUUCCAUUUUUAGUUAAACUAUAUACUUAGCCUCUAUAGUUAUUUUAAUUUUAAGUUUUAGUCUAGAUACUAGAAAAUGAUAAGUUUUAGUCUUUACAUAUAUAUUUUUGUUUACCAAGUUUUGGUCCUAGUAACUAAUAUCAGACUAGAAAAUUGAAAGACUUUACACAUUUAUUUUUACCUAAGUUUGGUCCCUCUCACUAACAUGAAUUUUUUUGCAGUAUAAAACUGCUCCAAGAACUUUCCACCACUGAUAAACUGGAAAAAAAAUUGUACAGAGGCUAAAUCUUACCGUUACUGUAUGAUAAUUUGUUUAAACUUAUUUCUUGAGAAAAACAUUUCUUUAAUAAAAUAAACAGUUUUUUUUUUUUUUACUUUUUCAGUAUGUUUGCUGAAUCUGUUUUUGCAUAAAAAGUAAAUUUUUAAUUUUAAAUAAUCUGACUCUUAUGCAUAGAGACUAAGAAACUUAAAAUUGAGACAACCAUAGAAAUUAAAUGAAUAGUUUAAGAGGUUAACCUUCAAUUUUUCAUUUGGAAAAUGACAAAAGAAAAAGGGUCUCAAGUGAAAUAUAAGGUAAAGUCUCAAAUGAUUGCAGGCUAGGAUUUAUCAUUGAUUUUCUAUCAAAGGCAAUCCUUAUUGGAUUCAUGGUUGGAUCAGCUGUAAUUGUAGCUUUGCAACAGCUCAAGGGCCUUCAUGGAAUCAAACAUUUCACCAAAAAGAUGCAACAGCUCAAGGACUAACAUUGCAGUAAGAUACUGCUUUAGCUAUAAAUAAUGGAAUUCUGGUUAUAGCUCUUGAAAUUAAUAAAAUUCUGCUCUUGCUUGUUAAGAUAAUUCACAAUAAAUUAACUCCAGUUAAUCUUAACCAGAUUUGUUGAGGAUCGGCUAGCUACCUUAAAAAAUGUCAACAAAGAGCCUGAGUUAGACCAAUGGAAUUUGUAUCUAGGUAGUUCUCUGUACCUGUUUAUGAUUUCUGCACCAUCCCUCAUUUUGUCCUGGUUAAUAACUAAACAGUUUUAUAACUAAACAUUCUCUCAUAAGUUGAAAAUUUUGAAAACUAAAUACUGUUAAAAUAUGGUCUAUGAAGGGUGAUAUAUUUAGUUUUAUGGUUGUUGGACUGAUGUUAUCUGACUAUGAUUUAUUUUACUGUUUAUGUAUUUUGCUAACUCUGUCCAAUAUACCAAUUAGAGUGAUAACAUGGACGCUACUAGUAACUAAACACAGGGAAGCUUAGUUAUAAUUAUUAUUUGUUUUUAAAAUAUUACUACAACAUUAUAUAGCUGCUUAUAAAUUCACUCCACUCUAUUUUUUAACAAUAAAUAUUGGUAGUUACUUUCUCUCUAGGUCAUACAGAGAUAAAAACAAAGAAUAGUUGAUACGAGAGUAUUUGUCAAAACAAAUUUACAAGUUAGUUGAAAAUUAAACUUAUAAAUUAGUUGAAACUCAUAAGAGCUGAAAUAAUAAAAAUUUAUAAGCUAGCUAGUUGAUUGAAUAAAAAUAUUUAAUAAUAUUAGCCAAUAAGCUAGUUAAUAAAUAUAAAAUGACAUAAAUAUUUAGAUUUAAUUACUUGAUAUAAAGAGAGAUAUAAAAUAAAUUAACAAAGAUAAAAAUAAAAAUAAAUAACCAGUUGCUUAUAAUAAGAAUAGGGGAUCGAAUAGAGUAAGAUAAGAAUACUGAUAAAUUAUUUUUGAACAAUAAAUUGUUCACAUAUCACUACUCCUUUUAUAAAUUUCACCAUUCAAAAUAAUUAUAUUGUUUGGCCUUGAGUUAUUCCAACCUCAACAAGAUUACAUGAAGAAGAGAACGAAAAUGCUUGGCAACAACACCACCAAAAAAAUGCUGAUGCAAGUGCUCCUUGUUCACAAAUCAAAAGUAGUAUAUAUAAUUCAUAGUUUUAUUAUCCCUUUCUUAUCUCUAAUUUCUUGUUCGUCUAUUUAGUUCUUUAGUAUUUAAGCCAUCUUACAGGCUUUAAUAAUGUAUUUAUUUUUAUCUACUUUCAUAAUGUAUUAAUUUUUAAUUGCAACAUAAACUUUGAGGUUCACAAAUCGACUAUGCUCUAUUUAGUGUCCACCAUUCAACACUUAUGUCGUUUAGCAUUCACUUAUUCUUCUGAUCAUUUGUUUAUGCCCUUGAAAUCACAUGUGCGCCUAUAGAGAAAUGAGUACGCUGCUUCCAACCUCAACAAGAGUACAUGAUACAGAGAACCAAAAUGCUUCUCAACAACACCGAAGAGAUGCAGGCACUCUCUUUGUCCUCAAAUCUAAAGGUAGUAAUCAUUCAUACAUAUAGUUUUCCAUUCAUACAUAUAUGGAUUCCAAUCACAAUUUGAAUUUUAAGAGACAUAAAUUUUCAUUGACUGGUGUGGAAUAUUUGGUUUGUUUUGUUUUAGGUGAAGGAUUAUAUUGCAACCCCUGAACCGAAUGGCUACCAGAGUCUUCAGACCACUGUGAUUCCAUUUUUGUAUGAGAAUGUUUAGGCUAGAAGUCUAGGUAUGCUUUUUAUAGCUGCAGUAGUUUGAAUUGGUUAGGCUUAUUUGUAUUGACAACGUAUUCUUGAGUAUGCAAAUUAAUUUUUAAAUUUUUUCUCAAUUAUUGUUGUCCAAUUUAUUAGCAUAAUUUUUAUUUAUUUUAAUAUACAAAGUUUCUCAUGCCUGCUCUGUGCAAGUUUGAAGUUGAGCUAGUUUCAUUUUUGGGGAUGUAAAGGCUCCAUACAGCAAAAAAAAACAAAUUGCAUUUCUACAUCAGUUCUGACAUGAUCGAUGUAGAAAUGUUUAACAUUCUACAUCAAUCUUGUAGUUGUGACCGUCGUUGAAUGCUGAGAAGGUCUCAUAUAAUCGAUGUAGAUUGUCUUUUUUCUAGUAGUGAUGAAUGCUUGCUUUGACUUGAUCACCCUUUUCUUGAUGUUGUGUUUUGAAUUGUCAAUGGAAAAUGCUUUUGAACAUAGAAAUAAAGAGGAACACCUAAUGGGUUUUCUGUCUAGAGAUAAAACAAAUCUUGUUAGUCAUCUUUUAACUCUUGUUCUUUAUGCAAGUCACUUAGGUAGAUUAGUCAAGGGAUUGAUAUUUUGGUCAAGGGACUUAGAUUCUUUCAUCUGAGGGAUUGAGGUUUGAGCAUUGAACUAGAUUAGUGACUUGUGAAUUGAUUAUUAUGAUUGGGCAUUGAACUAGAUUAGUGACCUAUGUAGCAUAAGGAGGUGGUUUAGGGAAGUUAGCCCUAACUCUUUUAUUCUUUGUUAUUUUACUUCUUUUUAUCGUACUCCAAGUGUUUGUAAAAAUUACCGAAAAAAGAUUUUCUUAUUCCUUUGCUCUUGAAUUUUAUGAUUGUUUCAUUUCUUGCUAUUUAUAUUGUUACAAUCAAAUUAUAAUUGCUGUUUCUGGAAGCCAUAGUUAGUGAAUAUUGGUUUUUUUAGUAUUACGCGAGUCCCUAAGAAUAUGAGAGUGACAACAACGAAAGAGUAAAAGUUGGAGAUAAUGAGAGUGUUUCAAAGUGAGUCAGCGCCAAAAAUUUAGAAAUAUUAAAAAUGAACUAAAAUCAGUUUAAAACUGAUGUUAAGUAAUUACUAACAACAUUAACAUUUGGGAAAUAUUUAUAGAACAUAAUAGAUAAUAGAUAUGUAAAAUAUAAAAUCAAAAUAAGCGUGAUUAGUGAUAUUAUUCACCCGUGUUUUAGCCCAUAUGUUUACAAAUUGCAUGAGUUUGCUCAAUUUCAUAAAUAAUACUAUACUUUUUUAUAUCUCUUUUUUUUUGUGAUUAGUAACAAAAGAUAAAAAGCCACCAUAUAUUAACAUUCUUAAAGAUAAUUGAAUAAAUGAAUAUUGAGAGUUUUUUUAAACUCUUCAUAUCGUAUCCCGUGUAUUCUUCUUCAAUCAUUUUCACUUUCACAAUUUAAUUAAGUACCAGGCAAUAACAACUGGGAAAAAAAAACUAACAAACGUGAUCUCCAUUCCCAUGUUUAUGUUUAUCUCAAAUUCAAAUUAUACCCAUUACUUGCUUUAAGCAUAAAUUUCAUAUUUUUAAUUCUAUAUGUUGUUUCUAUCUUUAAGAAAAAUGUUUAUAUCCACAAAUUAAGUAUAGAUUUAUUACUUGUCUUAAAAAUAUCAUUUUCAUAUUUUUACAUAAUUUACUAGGAGAAGAAGAGAAAAGAAAAACUCCACCUCAUAAUUUUACAUAUAAAUUCUAGAUAUUAAUUUGACUUAUACAUGGCAUUUUAAAUAAAAUAAAAUAUUCAAUGAAUUAGUUAAGUGAAAAGAAAAUAAGCAAGAAAUAAACCAAAAAAACAUUUCCAUUAAUCUCAUUAGUUAUAUUUUAUUCUCAUUCUUCUGUAAAAAAAAAAAUAUUUUAUCUGUAUUCUCCAUAUUAAGUAAAACAAAGUAUUCAAAAAAAUUAGUUAAGUAAAAAAAAAACUUAUACGAGUAAGAAGAUAAUAAAUAAGAAAUACAUCAUUUGCCUAUAAUUUCAUUUUAGAUAUUAAUUUUAUUUAUACUUUCUAUGUUAAAUAAAAUCAGAUAUUCAAUAAAUUAGUUAGGUCAUAAGAUAAUAGCCAAGAAAGAAAAAAAAUUAUUUACACAAUUCUAAUUCAUUAUAUUUUAUUCAUAUUCUCUAUAAUAAAUAACACAAAGUAUUCAAAAAACUAGUUAAGCUAAAAGAAAAAAUGAAAAAACAUUUAUAGUAUCAUAAUUUCAUUGAUUCAAAUUUCUCUUAGUUUUGUAAUUAAAUAUGUAUUAAAUAGGAAAAAAUUUACUCCUUGGUAAUUAAAUAUAGUUUUUUAUUUUCUUUUAAAAAAUCACUUUCUUCUUUUUUAUUUUAUAUAUAAUUUCUAUCUUUGGCAAUAAUCUUUAGUAAAAAAGUUACUCCCCUUAAAUUAAGUAUAAAUUUUGUUAUUUGAUUUUGAAAUAAUCAUCUUUAGGAUAAUAUUUCAUUUCAACGGAAAUAAUUUUCGAUUAGACUUUUUUUACCCUCAAUUGAACUCCAGAUUAGUCAAAACUUAUUUUUCUCUAAUGAAUUGGAAGGUUAAGACCAGAAAAAAGUCACAUUAAUAUUUUAUAUUUGAAUAUAUAAUUUCUAACUUUAGUUGAAACCGGUAAAUUAACUAUAGAUUUUCUUACUUUCUUUAAAAAUAAAUUUAAUAUUUUAUUUUAUUUUAUAUGUUAUUUCUAUCUUUAAGAAAAAUGUUCAUCUCGACAAAUUAAGUAUAAAUUUUGUUACCAGUCUUCUUAAAAAUAUCAUUUUCAUAUUUUUUACAUAAUUCAUUGAGAGAAGAAGAGAAAAGAAAAAUCUCACCUCAUAAUUUUACAUAUAAAUUUUAGACAUUAAGUUGUACUUAUACUUGGUAUUCUAAAUAAAAUAAAAUAUUCAAUCAAUUAGUUAACUGAAACAUCACAAUGCUAGUGAUUAUGUUGGAUGGAGGUGACGGGGUAGGAGUCAUUUUAUUUAAUGACUGAAUUUUGAAAUUUUCUAGUAGCAGUAGUGAAACACAAAUGGAUCCUCUACAUUAACGUUAAUUAAUACUAUAGAUAAUUGCAACUUUUUAUUAUAUUAUAUUUUUUAUAUUAUUUCCAUACGAAAAAAAUCAGCAAUACAAUUUGGAACAUUACUAAAAUUACGGGGAUCAACUUGAGAAUUCAGAGCUCGAUCAAGAGACUGAGUCACCGAGUUUGCUUGUCUCCCUACAAAACAAACACAAAAGUUUGGUAAAUCAAGUAGCAUAGUACAAUAGUUGGAUAAGAUCGCAACAUAUUUUGAUUUAUCUUAGCGAUAUUUAUAUACUUCAUUCUCCACUUGAAGGCAAUCGGAUUCAAUAAUGAUAUAAGAAAUCUCCAGAUCUUUGAGCCAUUGUAAGGCUACCAACAUGGCUAGGAGCUUCCUUUCGUGAAUGAACAGUUUAAACAGGAAACUGUGAUCGAGAUAAAGUCAUGACAAAUUGACCUCUAUCCUCCCUGAUAAAACAACGAACUUAGAAGAGUUUUCCUCUUCGACAAAAGUAGCGCCAAUAUUGCAUUUUAAAGUCCCUAGAGGAGGAGGUUCCCACCUUACUACCAUCAAAUUUGCAGUGGGUCUUAAGUAUAUCUUCUCAAUCACUCGGGCUUUUCUGCAAUUUUCAAAAAGCUCCUGAGCUUGAUGUACCUCAUGCUCAGUGUGCAAUCACUUACAAUAAUUUUAUUCUACAUACAGGCUUAGUGCGACAUACUAGGCUAAGUGUUAUGGCAAUUAUGCAGAAACAUGCAAUGCAUUUGACCCUAUUUAAUCUAUGUUUAAUGUUCAUUAUUAAGUUUUCUCCUCUAUGCAUUAAUGCUUGCUUUGGCUUGAUCACCCUUUUCUUGAUGUUGUAUUUUGAAAUGUCAAUGGAAAAUGCUUUUGAAUUUAGAAAUAAAGAGGAACACCUAAUGGGUUUGGUGUCUAGACAUAGAAUAAAUCUUGUUAGUCAUCUUUUAACUCUUGUUCUUUAUGCGAGUCACUUAAGUAGAUUAGUCAAGAGAUUGAUAGUUUGGUCAAGGGGCUUAGAUUCUUUCAUUUGAGGGAUUGGGGUUUGAGUAUUUUUGUGAGUUGAUGAUUAUAAUUGGACAUUGAACUAGAUUAGUGAUCUAUGUUAGCAUGAGGAGGUGGUUUAGUGAAGUCAACCCUAACUCUUUUAUUCUUUGUUAUUUUACUUCUUUUUAUCGUACUCCAAGUGUUCAUAAAAAUUACCCGAAAAGAUUUUCUUGUUCUUUUGCUCUUAAAUUUUAUGAUUGUUUCAUUUCUUGCUAAUUAUAUUGCUACAAUUAAAUUAUAAUUGUUGUUUCUGAAAGCCAUAGUUACUGAAUAUUGUUAUUUUUUCAAGUAUUACACGAGCCCCUAAGAAUACGAGAGUGACAACCACCAAAGAGUGAAAGUUCAAGAUAAUGAGAGAGUUUCAAAGUGAAUCAGCUCUGGAGGUUUAGAAAUAUUAUAAAAGAACUAACAUAAGUUUUAUUUAAAAAUUGAUGUUAUCUACUUAUUUGACAAAUCAGUUUUUAAAAACCAAUGGUAACUAAUCAAUGACAACAUCAAUUUUUUGAAAAUAUUUAUAGAACAUAAUAGAUAAUAGAUAUGUAAAAUAUAAAAUUGAAAUAAUCAUGAUUAGUGAUGUUAUUCACCCACGUUUUAGCCCAUAUGUUUACAAAUUGUAUGAGUUCGCUCAAUUUCAUAAAUAAUACUAUACUUUUUGAUAUCUUUUUUUUUUGUGAUUAGUAGCAAAAGAUAAAAAGUCACCAUAUAUUAACGUUCUUAAAAAUAAUUGAAUAAAUGAAUAUUGAGAGUUUCUUUAAACUCUUCAUAUCAUAUUCCGUGUAUUCUUUUCCAAUCAUUCUCACUUUCAUAAUUUAAUUAAGUAACACGCAAUAACAACUGGGGAAAAAAAUUAACAAACAUGAUCCCAUUCCCAUGUUUAUGUGUGCAACAAACUAGACCAAUAAAGUCAUAAGAAUAAAAAAAGGAUUUAUAAUGCAAACAGAUCUAAGAUUGAUGAAGGGAAAAAGAACCCGGUGUAUAUUUGUAUAAUUUUCAAAACCGACUAUGUAUCCCCUGCAUCUCCUCUACAAACAAAUGCUGGCCAUGUCUUGUACAAAUUAAUGCUCAACACGUAGCCGUGCAUGAUGCAUCCACUAAUUAACUUUGAAGAAGAAAAAAUGGCGAUCAAAUAAUUCCUGCGAAUUAAAGAAUUGUGACUGACUCUAACAUUUUUGACUAUGAUAAAAAAAAAAAAAACUUCUUUAAGUGGAAAGUUUUAUAAUGGGAGGUGAGAACUAAUUAACUUUGUGUUUUAUGUAAACUAGCAAGUAUUUCUUAGAAUGUACAAGCUUAUAUAUAAAUAUAUGUGAACUAUAAAUUAUAUCAGGAAAUAAAUAUCUAAUGUGUGUUACUCAUCAUUUCUAAGAAUAUUAGUCAUUACAUUUAAAGAAAAAAAUGUGAAAUAUAAAAAAUAUAAAUGUAAAAAAUAUCUAGACAUUAUUUUAUGUUAAUAUAUAAAAAUAGAAAUUAUAAUAUAAACAUGAAAACAUUUUAAUUUUUGAAAAACAUAAAAAAAUAAUUAAUGUAAUAUUAUUAUAAUGAGGACUUGCAAAUUAGUAUUUUAUGAUACUUAUUGCUUCACAUAUUAACUUAAUUAAACAAAAGAAAUUUUGUUUGCAUAACUAAUUUGUUCUUCUCUUGAUAAACAAACAAAAAUUGUUACUCCCUUCACACUAAAAAAAUUUAUCUUCUUAAGUUAUUUUACAAACACAAAAAUUAAUAAAUAGAAAAAAAGAAUAACAAUUUAUAAAAUUAACCUUAUAUCAUCUUUAUUUAUUUAUAGAUUUUAUUGUUCAUUAUUAAUGUUAUAAGAGAUAUAAUUAAGUGGAAAAAAGAAAAAAAAAGUUAUUUUGAGAUUUCAUUUUUUAUAUUUACACGAUAAUUAUAAUAAGACAAAAAAAUAUCAUGAAAUGGAAACUACAUUUAUGAUAUAAGGGAUUGACAUAAUUAAUUAUUUGUUACACAUUUGCCCUUAUUUAACAUAACUUAGAUAAUUGUAUAUGGAUUAUUCCACAACUACUCUCAUCAUAAAUAUCAAAUGAUGAUAUUUUAGGUUCAAUAUAUAGUUUGUAAGUACUAUUAAUUAUUUCUUAAACAUUGUAUAUGAACUUUGAAAAUCCAUAGUUUAGGUCUGGAGAAAAAAAUCAAUAUAUUUUGGAUUCAAAUGCAAAAGUGACUUAAAUAAGCAUAAUGUGUUCUAAUUUAUUGAAAACUAUAAAAUCAAAAAGAGAUAAUUAUUAAAUACCAUGUGAGAUUCAUAAAAGUUUUCUAAUUUUAGUAAAUUUCAAUCGAAAAGAGAAAUUAUGUUAAAAAAUGAUCAAGAUCACAUUAUCCUUUAUGGAAAGUAAUCAUGUUAGAGAUGUAGGAAGUUGAUUAUAAUUAUGACGAGUUAUUUUUCUUCAUAUAUUAUAAUUACAAUUUAUCUCAAAAAUCAAAAUCAUUCUCUUUGAUAAAUAGUUGUUGAAAUCACCUAUUUAAUAUAUAGUUAUACGUAACCACACAUAGUUUGGUAAAAAAAAUCUUAUAUUAAAAAAAAUAAUAAAGUGUUAAUUGUUUAUUAUUUAGUUUAAAAAGUUUAAGAUAUUGAUUUAUUUAAAACUAGAUACAUUUUUACCAAUUUAUUUUGAGAAAAAAAUUGCUAGAAGGAACACUUUCGUUCAUUUAAUUUUGUAAAAUUAAUCCACAUCAAAAGAACAACUAAUAAAUUCGCUUCCACUACGCGUGUAUCAGUUGGAUAUUAGUUCUUCUUCUUCUUCUUCUUCUUUUUUUUUUACAAGAUAUUGUGGCCAUAUUUUGUUCUAGUUUCUAGUUGUGUUUUUGGUAGACUUUUUGUUCUCUAAUAUUUAUAUCUCCUACUGAUAUAAAUAUAUAGUAACCAAUGUCCUACUGGCUUCAUAUAUUUCUGUAUAGGGUAUCUUUGGUACCUUUCUAUAAAUACAAUAUCUUUCCUCAGCCGACAAAAAAAAAAAAACUAAAAAAAAUGCAAGUCAAUGAUUUAGUAAAAAUAAAAUAAAAUUUGAAGUUUUCGAUACACACUAUUUGGUAUAUGUUUUAGUUGUUUUUUCAUAAAAGAAAACGUUUCUGUAAGGGUGUCAAUAAUUGAUAGUAAUUUAAUUAAAAUAAGUGAAAAAAUUUAAUAGUGCAUAAAAGGUGGCGAAUAGAAUGCAAGUUUCUAUAUGUCAACAAGUUUAUCAAUGGAAAAUCCCAUGAAUUUAUCCGGUUGUAAUAAAAAAUAAAAUAUAUAUUUGCACUCUUGAAAUAUUUUAAAAUGCUAGUUUUAAUUCUUAAUUAAUAUAUUUUUAACUUCUACAUUUAUAAAAAAAAGUGAUGUGAUUUUAGUCACCGGGCCGGAGAGACUAGAAACAUAUGUUUUUGUAAAAAUAUAGGGAUUAAAAACUUAUUUUCAAAUAUUUUUAAAAAAUAAAAAUACAUUUUUAUCAAAAAAUCACUUGGAUAGGAUUGGAUGAUUUUAAAAAUUAAAUAAAAUAGAUAACAAUCUGUCUAUUCUCAUUUUCAAAUUUUAUGGAUUAUCCAAUUAACACUGUAGAAUAAAACCAGUUAAACAUAAUUUUUUAAUAUUUCAAGUUCCUUUAAAUUUAUUAAAAAAAUAUUUUUUCAUAUAUUAAUUUUUAGUACUUAUUCAUAGGAGUGUCUAUAGAAUCCAAUAACUCAUGCACUGGAAUUGACCAAAACCCUUUAAUAUAAAUUUUGUUGUUAUUUCGGUAAAAGCCAAAACUAUAUUUCAAAUAAAUAAGAAAGUGUUAAUAACCGUUAUUUAAUUUUAAAAAAUUUGUAGGUAUUAAUUUGAUAAAAUAAAAAAAUAUUUCUUAAAUGUUAGUUUUAGAAAGAAUAGUCUAAACGAACACUUUCAUUCUUUAGUCAUAUGGAUUAAUUCACCUUAAUGACAACUCACAAAUUUAUUCUCUGGAUUUCAUACACAAAUUAAGCUCCAAAAGAAAAAAAAUCUUUAUGACAAUGAUAAUUGAUAUGCCGAACUAGAACGAUUAAUUAGUGUUAUUGACCUAAGUUUUAGCCCAUGUUUGCAAAUUGUAUGAGUUUGCUGAAUUUCAUAAAUAAUAUUAUAGUUCUUUAUAUCUCUUAUUGUUGUGAUUAGUAACAAAAGAUAAAAAGCUAUAUAUUAAUGUUCUUCAAAAUAAAUUGAAUAAGUGGAUAUUGAAAAUUUCUUUAAACUCUUGGCAUCAUAUUCUGUGUAUUUUUUCUCAAUCAUUCGCACUUUUACAAUUUAAGUACCACAAAAAAAAUUGAGGAAAAAAAAAACUUGACCCAUGCAUAUGUUUAUCUUUAAUUAACCCAAAUUAUACCCAUUAAUUAUUGUGCUGCAAACUAGACCAAAAAAUCUUAAGAAUAAAAAAAAGUUAAAAAGGAUAUAUAAUGCAAGCAUAUGUAAAUUGAGAAAGAAGAAAAAGAAAACAGUGUAUUUGUAUAUUUUUCAAAACCGAACAGCUAGCUAAAGGUUGGAAAUAAAAUUUAGAGUAAAGUAUACAAAUACUUACUGAGAUUUUGUUAAAUUUCUCUUGAUACUCCUUAUUUUAUUUGUUUUUUAAAAAAAAUAUAAAUUUCUUAAUUUUUCCUAUAUUAAACAUGUUUAAUUUUAUUAUUUAUUUAUAUUUAGUUAGGAUUAAUUUGACUUGUAGGUUCAGUUUAAAGCCAAGAUACAUAAAAAAUAUAUAUAUAUAAAGCCAUUAUGAACCAUCAAAUUUUCUGCCAAAGAAAAAUUAAAGUUGACCAAAGAAAAAUUAAAGUUGACCAACCUGCAGUCCAAUUUGCCUCGUACCUCUAGAAAUAAUUGCACCAAUUGUCUCUAUGCAUUUUAUUUAAGUAUGCAACAAAGGCAUAUGUCACUUUGUUUGCGCAAUGUGAAAACAAAGGCAUAUAUGUCACUUUGGAUCCCAUGUAUAUGCUAAAAGUUGUUUCUUCAUAACAUCGAUCCAUAACUUGUGGAUCCCAUGUAUUUUCUUAUUCUUUAAUUUCUGGAAUUGAUUAUUAUUAUUCUUAUUUAAUAUAGUAAGACCCGAAUCAGAUGAUUUAAUUAAGAAGACUUUCAUUAAUUAAAAUGUUUAUCCAAAGAAGGUUAGUUACAUGUUCACACACAUAAAACAAUAAUUAACUAGAAAUAUUGUAGUAUGAAUUAACAGAUAUUUAAAAAUUUGAUCCAAUCAUCUAUAUAAGAGGAAGGAGUGGUGUCCGAUAUAAUCACACCAACCAAAGCCACAAAAGAAAAGCAAUAGCAAUAGCAGUAGCAACAGCCCAUAUAAAAUAUAAUGGCAGAAACCUGCGACUCCAACAAUAAAGUGAUCCGUGAAUACCAUCAUGAUGCUUCCUUUAUGUCAAGGUGUGACAUCUUUACUGAUGUUACCGAGUACCAACCGUGUCUGGCAUAUGCCGGAGAAUCUGGUAAAGGAAACUUCGAACCUAAGUGGGACACAGACAAUGUCACUCCCCACCUUAUCGAGCAGUUCAAGCUAAAUUGUGCUGCCUCGAAUCUGCCAGUCAAAGUGUUUGUCAGCAUCGGAGGAGAUGACCCCUUCAAAGUUGCUGCUGGUGGUGCCGAUGAUUGGGUUCUCAAUGCCACAACCACACUCCACCACAUGAUCAACGAGUACCACAUCGAUGGAAUCGAUGUUAACUACACCACAAUCCUGUGCAACCAAAAAUUGUUUGUUAACUGCUUUAAGGAUCUCAUAAGGGGUCUAAGGGAAGCUCUAUGCACCACUGGGUUUGUGGCUUCCUUAGCUCCAGAUGCUGCCACUUAUGUUGUGUUUCAGUGCUUCGUUGAUUUUGAACCUCGAGAUCCUAACAGACCAGUUAAAAGCUUGGUGCAGCAUACUUACCAAAACUAAAUAUGAAUAAUUUUUUUCACAAAGAUCAAAAUUUAAAGAAAAUACAAACUUACAAAAAUAAAAAUGUAUUUAAGUCAUUUAAUAUGAUGAUUGAAAUAUUUAUCAUUCAAUAUUGAGAUUUUAGUUAAUUGAAUUUAAAAGAGAUUUAAUUGAUAUGAAUUUAAAAUUAAAGUAUGAAAAUUAAAAUUUAUCAACUAUUAUUUAUCAAUAAUCAAUGAUAAUGAGUUAAAAUCAUGAUUUAGACAUUCUUAAAUCAUCUUUACAUGUCAAAUAACAGAAAAAAUAUUUUUUAAGAAAAUAUUGUUUAUAUUCUUUGAAUGAAAAUUGAUUUUGAGGGUGUAAUAACCAAAAUGGAUUUUAAUGUCUAUGUACACUCAAUUUUCUAUUAUAAUUAGUUAUAUAUAUAUAUAUAUAUAUAUAUAUAUAUAUAUAUAUAAUUAAAAUUAAAUGGACAUAAUUAAAAUUAAGAUGAUAUAUGUAUAAUAUGCUAACUUGAAGGCAAUCGGAUUCAAUAAUGAAAUCAUCAAUCCCAGAUCUUUGAGCCAUUAGAAGGCUACCAACAUGGCUAGGGCCUUCCUUUCAUGAGUUUAAACGGGGAAGUGUGAGAUAAAGCCAUGACAAAGUGACCUCUAUCAUCCCUGAUACAACAACCAACUUAAAAGAAUUUUCUUAUUCGACAAAAGCAGAAUCGAUAUUGCAUUUUAAAGUCAUUAGAGGAGGAGGUUCCCACCUUACUGCCAUCAGAUUUGUAUUGGGUCUUAAGUAUGACUUCUCAAUCACUCAAGCUUUUCUCCGAUCGUCGAGAAACUCCUGAUCUUGAUAUACCUCAGGCUCAACACGCAAUCACUUACAACAAUUCUAUGUUACAUACAAGCUUAGUGUGACAUGCUAGGCUAAGCGUGCAGGCACUUAUGCAGAAACAACAGUGCAACGCAUUUGACCCUAUUUAAGCUCCAAGGAUGCAAAUAGAAGGUAGAUAACUGGUUGGGGGACUAUCUAGGGUUUGAGGUUGCAGGUGCAAAGCUCUCCCUUUCCCUCCAUGGCUUCCCUACCAUUUCUCAUCAUCUAUUUUCUUCUUGCUGUUAGAUUUACCCAUUUUAGGGGUUGACGUAGUUGAAUCCAUCCUGAUGCUUACAUUUUGAUUAUUAAUGUAUGUUUAUUGUUCAUUAUUAUGUGUUUUCCUCUAUGCAUUAAUGUUUGUUUUGGCUUGACCACCCAUUUCUUGAUGUUGUGGUUUGAAUUGUUAGUGGAAAAUGCUUUGGAAUUUAGAAAUAUAGAGGAACACCUAAUGCGUUUUGUGUCGGGGGGAUAGAACAAAGCUUGUUAGGGAGGGGUUUAACUCUUGUUUUUAAAGCAAGUCAUUUGGGUAGAUUAGUUAAGGGAUUGGUAGUUUGGUCAAGGGGCUUAGAUUCUUUCCAUCCGAGGGAUCGGGGUUUGAGACUUCCCGUGAUUUGAUUAUUAUAAUUGUGCUUUUUUUAAUGGAAAUGUUUUUUGGUUUAUUUCUUGGUUAUUUUCUUUUCACUUAACUAAUUCAUUGAAUAUUUUAUUUUAUUUAAAAUACCAAGUAUAAGUCAAAUUAAUGUCUAGAAUUUAUAUGUAAAAUUAUGAGGUGGAGUUUUUCUUUUCUCUUCUUCUCCCAGUAGAUUAUCUAAAAAUAUGAAAAUGAUAUUUUUAAGACAAGUAACAAAAUCUAUACUUAAUUUGUGGAGAUGAACAUUUUUUUAAAGAUAGAAACAACAUAUAAAAUUAAAAAUAUGAAAUUUAUGUUUAAAACAAGUAAGAAAAUUUAUACUUAAUUUACGGACAGAAAUAUGUCAACUAUAGAUACAAUUUUCAUAGUGCAGAAUAUGAAAUACAUCCUCAAUAAUCAGGUUAACUUUGGUCUUCAAUUGGUAAAUUAUAUUACUCAUGUAUUAGUACCUCAAUUAUUCAAAAUAGUUUUACACAUAUCAAAUUGUUAUUUUGCAUUUUUGGAGUAUAAGCACAAAUUUUGUCAAGCAAGUUAAUACAACAACGGCAUUUGUAUGUAAUUUGUACAAAGAAGCUUAAAUUCAAGAUAAUAUAUUAAAUAUCAGAUGAAAUAACAACAAGAUAAUGGUACCUAUAGUCCUUGCAACAUUUCUGGGGUUGGAAGCUCAAGAAAAUGUGCAAUACCAACAAAUUCAAUCUCCUCACUCCUCUUAGCAACACCCUUUUUAAACAAAUAAAGUUUAUAAGAAGAAAUUCUAUUCUAUAUAGUUGCAACACAAUAGUAUCCAAGAAACAUGUUUUUGAUGCAAGAUUAAUAGUCUCAGCUGUAACCUAGCAAUACAAUGUAAAAUUAGUUUUUCUUUAAAUUAAAUCAUAUAAUAAUUAUAAUUUAUGAUAAUUUACAAUAAAUCUGGUUGCCUAUGCAUUGCACAGGCUCUAAUACUAGUGUGUGAGUAUAUAUAUAUAUACACACACACAUUUUUCCCUUCUACUUCUAGAAAUACACACAUGCUCAAUAUUUUCAUAGAUUAUAAAAUUCACUAAGUAAAAAAAAUAAAGUUAAAAUCAUGAUAAUAGUAUUAAAAUUAUUAUUAUUAUUUUAAACAAAUAAGUAAAACUAAACACUCAAAUGUUCAUAUUUAAGCAUGUAAUUAUAAUAAUCAUGGAAUAAAUAAAAAAUGUCUGAAAAAAUUAUUGGAAAGGAAAUAAAAAUAAUAAUUGUGACUUUUUUUAUCCAUUGAAAUCAAAGACAUUUAUCAGGAGGUUUAAAACACGUAUCUUACUCAACCACCUAUAUAUUAUUUUAAAAAAUGUGCGAAAAUCAAAUGUGACAUUUAAUUGAAUAAUUUUAACGAUAAAGUUGACAUUUCAUUAAAUAGAAAAUAAGAAAUAAAUAGAUGAAAAAGCAAUUAAAGUAAAUGAGUAAAUGAAUAACUACAUCCUAAAAAGACACUAGUGCUUGGUAGCAUGAAAGAUGAAGUUUGAGAAAAUGAAGUGUGGAAGGAGAAAGACGAGAAAGUGGUAUACAUAGAGGUUGGGCCUAUGGAGGCCCAAAUAUUGUGACUAUUCCCAAACAUUGGAUCAUGUGAGAUCAAUGGUCUAGAAAAAUAGUGUCACUUCAUUUCUGAAACUUAUAACUAUCAUGAUUCUACCUGCAAAAUGAAGCAACUCAUCCUAACAUGCUUCCAGAUACAACACAUGAGAUAUCUAGAGAAAAUCAAACACCUUUGACUACAACAUUCAUGAGAAGGGAUGAAAACCUUUUGGCAUAAGACAAUUAUGUCAAGAUUCUGCAUUUUUUUAAGAACUUAUUGGCUAAGGGAGCAAGGUACCAUAUGGACGAAUACCCUUUGAUGAAUGAUUGGUCCUACAAAAGACCAGAUGGUCAUUAGUACCCGCUAAUACAUAACACACUCUAAAAUACUAGAGAAAAGAAUAUGCUUUGUAUGAUAUUGGCUAAUAGUAAUCUGAUUUGUCCCCUUAAUGAAUUGAGGCUUAGUAGGGGGCAUGUGUAUCGUAUGGACGAAUACCCUUCGAUCAUAUUGAAGACUGAGUGGACCUUUAUCCCUCUAUAAGGCUGAAUAGACGUAAACUUUCUUAAUACAUAUAUACUUGUCAUUUUUGUGAAGAUUAAAGAAUAUAGUCUAUCUUAACGUAAUCCAAUCAUUAUCAAGGACUUACUACCAUGUAAUUUCAGAUUAACAUUCCCUUAAUUAAAAAGGCAAUGCCCAUGGACCAUAUGACCCAUAAAUACGUGUACUAAAGGGUUAGAUUUUCAAGAUAUCCCACACUAUAACAAAAUAUGCAUUCAACAUCCCCAAUUUAACAUCGGUCACAAGAAAUAUAGAUGUUAAAUUAUACGCAGUGAUAUUUCCUUAAAUACUUGGAGCUUCUUAACAUCGAUUUUUGAAAACCGAUGUUACUACCAGAAACUUCACAUCGGUUUUUUGAAAACUGAUGUUGUUAGUACAAUGUUAACAUCAUUUUUUUUAUAAAAAAAAAUCAAUGUUGUUAGUAAUUAGUUAACAUCGGUUUUUGAAAAUCGAUUUGUCAAAUGAGUAGAUAACAUCGAUUUUUAAAUAAAAUUGAUGUUAGUUAUUUUUUUACUAUUUCUAAACCUAUGGCGCUGACUCACUUUGAAACCGUCUCAUCCUCUCUAACCAUCGCUAUUUCGUUGUUUCCACUCUCGUAUUCAUAGACACUUGCGUAAUACUAAAAAAAAUAGCAAUAUUGACUAACUAUGGCUUUCAGAAACAACAAUUAGAAUUUCAUUGUACCAAUAUAAAUAGCAAGAAAUGAAAUAAACAUAAAGUUCGAGAGAAAAAGAACAAGAAACUCUUUUUGGGAAAUUUUUAUGAACACUUGGAGUGCGAUAAAAAGAAGUAAAAUAACAAAGAAUAAAAGAGUUAGGGUUGAUUUCACUAAACCACCUCCUCAUGCUAAAAAAGAUCACUAAUCUAGUUCAAAGCACAAUUAUAAUAAUCAACUCACAAAAAUACUCAAACCCCGAUCGCUCGGAUGGAAAGAAUCUAAGCCCCUUGACCAAACUACCAAUCCCUUGACUAAUCUACCCAAAUGACUUGCUUUAAAAACAAAAGUUAAAAGAUGACUAACAAGCUUUGUUCUAUCUCUAGACACAAAAUGCAUUAGGUGUUCCUCUAUAUUUCUAAAUUCCAAAGCAUUUUCCACUAACAAUUCAAACCACAACAUCAAGAAAAGGGUGGUCAAGCCAAAGCAAACAUUAAUGCAUAGAGGAAAGCACAUAAUAAUGAACAAUAAACAUACAUUAAUAAUCAAAAUGUAAGCAUCAGGAUGGAUUCAACUACAUCAACCUCUAAAAUGGGUAAACCUAACUACAAGAAGAAAAUAGAUGAUGAGAAAUGGUAGGGAAGCCAUGGAGGGAAAGGGAGAGCUUUGCACCUGCUACCUCAAACCCUAGAUAGUCCCCCAACCAGUUAUCUACCUUCUAUUUGCAUCCUUGGAGCUUAAAUAGGGUCAAAUGCGUUGCACUGUUGUUUCUGCAUAAGUUCCUGCACGGUUAGCCUAGCAUGUCGCACUAAGCUUGUAUGUAAAAUAGAAUUGUUGUAAGUGAUUGCGCACUGAGCAUGAGGUAUAUCAAGAUCUGGAGUUUCUCGACGAUCGGAGAAAUGCUUGAGUGAUUUAGAAGUCAUACUUAAGACCCAAUGCAAAUCUGAUGGUAGUAAGGUGGGAACCUCCUCCUCUAAGGACAUUAAAAUGCAAUAUUGAUGCUGCUUUUGUCAAAUAAGAAAAUUCUUUUAAGUUGGUUGUUGUAUCACGGAUGAUAGAGGUCACUUUGUCAUGGCUUUAUCUGACACUUCCCUGUUUAAACCCAUGAAAGGAAGGCCCUAGCCAUGUUGGUAGCCUUCUAAUGGCUCAAAGAUUUGGGAUUGAUGAUUUCAUUAUUGAAUCCGAGCCUUCAUGUUAGCAUAUUAUACACAUAUUAUCUUAAUUUUAAUUAUGUCCAUUUAAUUUUAAUUAUAUAUAUAUAUAUAUAUAUAACUAAUUAUAAUAGAAAAUUGAGUGUACAUAGACAUUAAAAUCCAUUUUGGUUAUUACACCCUCAAAAUCAAUUUUCAUUCAAAGAAUCUAAACAAUAUUUUCUUAAAAAAAUAUUUUUUCUGUUAUCUGACAUGAAAAGAUGAUUUAAGAAUGUCUAAAUCAUGAUUUUAACUCAUUAUCAUUGAUUAUUGAUAAAUAAUAGUUGAUAAAUUUUAAUUUUCACACUUUAAUUGUAAUUUCAUAUCAAUUAAAUCUCUUUUAAAUACAAUUAGUUCAAUUAACUAAAAUCUCAAUGUUGAAUGAUAAAUAUUUCAAUCAUCAUAUUAAAUGAUUUAAAUACAUUUUUAUUUUUGUAAGUUUGUAUUUUCUUUAAAUUUUGAUCUUUGUGAAAAUAUUAUUCAUAUUUAGUUUUGGUAAGUAUGUGUUUUUUCCAUUUUUAUCCUUGUAAAUUUUAAUAUUUAUUUUUAGUCCCUGUAAAUUUGUAUUUUUCCAAUAUGAUUUUGGGCAUUGUAAUUAAGCAUGAACUUAUGCAGAUUUUUUUUUAGUUUGAAUUCAACCCGAGUCCGACAACAAGGGCCGCAAAGUCGGUUUGAAUUAAACAAACUAUGUAUUGAUUCAAAAUUAACCGAAAAGUACAAGGCGAUCGCUAGGAUCCAGCCACCAAAAAGGACAAACGCAAACCAGAGAAAAAUUAACCCAUCAUAAGAUUAGCUAUGUGAUCUCUAAGAUACCCACUAUACCAACCUCUGUAAACUAUCAUAUCUAUAAUAUUAUCCGCUAUUUUUGUAUUAUCAACAGUAUUACCGAAACUCUUAUCGUUACGGUAUCUCCAGAUUCCAUAUAAAGUUUCAGCAGCGGCUAGUUUCAAAAUUGCAUGUCUCUUUCCCUUCCCUUUUGUGGAUGAAAUUAACCACUCUAACUCAUCAUUCCACUCACGCGGUACUCUCUUAAUUUGAACCCAAUCAAGAACUUUAGUCCAAAUAAUUUUAAGCUCCGGGCAGCCAUAAAACAAGUGAUUAAUAGAUUCUUCAGCAGGACAAAAGCAACACUUACUAUCUUCAAUCAUACCAAAUUUUUUCAGACGGUUUUUGGUGGCUAACCGCCCAUGACAAGCAAGCCAUAGAGUCAUCAGAGCUCUAGGCCUCGCUGUAUUCCCCCGAAACAGAUUACGCCAGCGCACUUUUGAAGUGUUGGUGCAAAGACUUUUAUAAACCUCCUUCAUACCAAAUCGAUUUUUCUCUAGCAUGCUGUCCCAUAUAGAUUGGAUAUCCAAAAUGCUACUACGAUGCUUCAGGAUACUUUUCAUAAUCCAAGAGUUGUGAAUCUUUACACUCACAUUCAUCAGUGUGUCCUUAUUCAAGUAGUAGGCAUUUACCCACUUCACCCAAAGACUAUCAGAUUUGCCACUAAGAUUCCAAAGGAGUUUCAGCAUAGUUACCUUAUUCCAAACCGAAAGGUCAAUGAUGUUUAACCCUCCAUAAUCCUUCGGUUUACACACAGAGUCCCAAGCAACUGGACUUUUUCUCUUUAGCUCUUGCCCUCCUGUCCAGAGGAAAGAUCUGCAAAUAGCUUCAAUUUUGUGAACAACAUACUUCGGGAUAGGAAAGCAUUGCAUCCAGUAAUUUGCAAUAGCAAACGUCACACUCCUUAUAAGCUGAACACGGCCUGCAUAAGUCAAAAGAUUAGUGCUCCAGUGAUUGAUUCUCCCCACUAUCUUAUCCACUAAAGGCAUAUAGUGGUGAAUAGAAAGUUUUUUACUAGUGAGCGGGACCCCCAAGUAACGGAAAGGAAGAGGGCCUUCAGUAAAACCAGUAAGAUUGAGAAUAUUCCUCUUGCUAUCGUCCCCCACACCACCAAAGUAAAUCUUACAUUUACUAGGAUUAGCAAUAAGACCAGUGGACUCAGAAAAAUUCUUGAAAGCCUUCACCAUAAGAUCCACAGAUAUUGGAUCACCUCUCGAAAAAAGAAGUAAAUCAUCUGCAAAAGCCAGAUUAGUAAUACUAAGCUUUUCACAUUUAGCAUGAUGGUUAAAAUUAGGAUUCUUCUGCAUGUCAUACAUAAUUCUAUUCAGAUAUUCCAUAACAAUAACAAAAAGGAGGGGGGACAUGGGGUCUCCCUGACGGAGUCCACGCUUAGCCUGCAAAAGGUUAGAGUGACAACCAUUGAUAUUGAAACGGUAAGAAACAGUGGUCACAGCUAUCAUGAUCCAUCUGAUAAAUUGUUGAGGCACACCAAUCUCUUUAAGAAUACAUUCCAGUGCAUCCCAGUUAACCAUAUCAUAAGCUUUCUGGAGGUCUAUUUGCAUCAUACAGCGGGGAGUCCCACCUUUCCGAGAGUAACCCUUAAUCAGCUCGUAAGCAAGUAGAAUGUGAUUAUGAAUUUUUUGGCCGGGGACAAAAGCAGCUUGGUUCUUACCAACGAUACUAUCCAUCACCCUACCCAUUCUAGUGGUAAUAAUUUUAGAAAUUAUUUUAUAUACUGUAGUGCACCCGGCAAUAGGUCGAUAUUCCUUAAUAGUUUUGGCUUCCUCAUUUUUUGGAAUGAGAGUUACCAAAGUACAAUUGAAAGCCUUGUAGAUCCGAUCAUUCUCAAAGAAAUCUCUAACAGCAGCCACCACAUCUUUCCCUAUAAUAUUCCAGCUGGUUUUGAAAAAUUUUGCUCCAAAACCGUCUAUUCCCGGGCUUUUUGUGUCACCAAUGCCAUUCAACGCUUUACGGAUUUCUUGGUCGGUAAUGGGGGCUACAAGCUGUUCCCUCUGUUCCAUACUAAGUUGAGGCCCCCCUCUCAUGGCCAUAAUAUUAAUAUGACGCACAUUACCAUCUUUUGUCCCCAUUAAACCCUCAUAGAAAUUUAAGACUUCGUCCUGAAUUUCGUCAUGAGAUGUAAUAACCGUACCAUCAUCCUUAUGCAGCAAAUUCAGCCUUUUGGAACUCUUUUUAGCUUUUAUGGUAGCAUGGAAAUAUGAGUUAUUUCCAUCACCCAAUCGAAGCCAAUCAAUUUUGGAUUUUUGUUGUAAUGUUUUCUCUUCCAGGGAAUUCCAAUUGAUAACCUCCUCUGUAUACCGCUUAACAGUAUCAAUUUUACUGCUAUUCCAUCUAUCUUCUACAAGGCUUUUUUGGGCAUGUUGCAGAUUUUGUCUAGCCUCCAUUAUUCUAGACUGGAUAUGAUGCAGAGGCCUGUUGAUUUUAUUCAAAGCAGGUUUGAGCCGUUUGAGCUUCUCCCAAAGCACAUACAUCGGUCUACCAUUCAGUGGUUCGUUCCAACUAUUACUAACAGUGCUAUGAUAUUCCUCCAAAUCUGUCAAACAGUUUGAGAAUUUAAAAUGAAAUUGCCGACCUGCAGUAUUCCCUGGAUCAGCCAAACAAAGUAAAGCGUGCUCCGAUACGCUCGGAGGCAGGAUUUGGAGCAUUGUGUCCAUGUUGUCUUGGAACCAUUCCACAUUCCCCACCACCCUAUCGAUUCUAGAAUAGAUCAUACCAUCAGUUUGCUUAUUCGACCAAGUAUAGUAGUCACCCGUGCUAUCCUUUUCAAAAGUUCCCGUAUUUCGCAUCAUUUUUGUCAAGUCUUCAUAUUCUGACUCGGUGACCAAAUUACCACCCAUUCUAUCUUUAGCUUUCAAAACGUUAUUAAAGUCACCAAGCAAGACCCAAGGACCAUGUUGAUUGCCAUGAAUACAUUCGAUAUCAGUCCACAAAGUUCUACGCUGAUCCAGCUUAUUAAGGGCAUAGAUCGCUGUGAUCCAAUAAAGAAAAUUACCUGUCAGAUCAUAAACGCCACAAUGGAGCAAUUGACUUGUCUCCCUAAUAUACUUUAUGGUAACCUUGUUAGUAUCCCAAUUUAACCAGAUUCUGCCGUUGGAAUGGCUAGAAUAAUUGUCCAAAAACUCACCUUGCAACCUGACUUUAUUUCGAAUAUUGCGAGCCUUAACUUGUUUUACCCUUGUCUCAAUUAAGAUCGUGAUCGUAGGCCGAAGCUCUAGAAGACGGGAGCCUAUCUCCUUUAGCUUACCUACAUUAUUAAGCCCCCUAACAUUCCGGCUAAUUAUCAUGCAGAUUACAAAUGAAUAAAUUAGAAUCUUAAAGGGACUAAAAUCGAAAAAACAUAAACUUACAAUACAAGGAUUAAAAAUAAACAAAAAACUUACAGGAAUUAAAAUUUUGAAAACAACUUUCGGGGACUAAAAUUAAAAAAAUACAUUCAAAAGGAUAAAAAAUAAAUAAAAAAGACUAAUUUACAAGUACCAAAAACAUAUUUAAAUCUAUUGAGAUUAUAUAAUAUUUUGGAAGAUUGCAAGUAUAUUAGUUUUUAAUACAUUUCUUAUUCGAAUUUUACUAAACGUGAAUUAGAAUUUAUUAUUUUAUUUUAAGAGAAUUAUAAUUAUCGGUAAAUUGAGGGGGGAUAAAACAUAGAGAGAGAUCUUCACUAAUGGGUGGUUACACACUCAUCCCAUAAGUAAACUUGACACUAAUAUUAUCAAACUUGAUCGGGAGUUUACAUAAACUCGUCAAAGUUCUAAAGACUCGACUCGUAGAUCCAUAGAAGUCUACUUCAUAUAAAAAUAAUAACAAAAUACAUAUAAAUUAUAUUAAAUAGCAUAUCAAUUAAACAUUUAAAAAACUUGCUCAACCUGGGCUGGGUCACCGAUCUUAAGAAAACUCAAUCAGGUCAACUUUGGUGGAUUCAUAUACAUUAUUAUGUGUAAAGUUUCCUGUAUGUAAGAUUCAAUUACCUAAUUCAUCAAAAUUAACGAAAAUGAUUAAUUUAGCUGAAAACAUAUGUUAUUGAUACAUAUAUAUAAUAAUCAAGAGCAAAUGAAGCACAAAGACAUAUAAUAUAUUUUAUUGAUGAGACAAAGAUGCACGUAGGCAUUAACACAGCACAAAUAUGCAUGCCAUGCAUUGUUUUUUCAAAUGCACGCACAACAUAUAUAGAUAUAGGCAGAAGGAACACACACAUACAAUUAAUAGAUAUAGCAUGGGUCUUAUUCCAUAUAUAGAAUGGCUAGAGCCAUGAAUGCAUAGAUAGAACUUAAUAAUUAUGGAUCUUCAAUUAAGGAUAUUUUCCAGGAUCGGAGACGGCCAAAGACAGGAGUUUAGGGAUCCACGUUGGGGGAAUGAAGGCAUAGGUGUCACUAAGAACCUUGACAGAUGCGCCCUUAACCCUAGGCCAAGAAUGCACUAGGCGAUUGAGAGCAAGAAAGAAGAGGGGUGGUGAAACUUUAUUCCAAUCCUCCUUAAUGGCGCUGUAGCCAAGCAAGAUCUUAGAGUCAUAAUAAUCAUACUCUUCCACUAUCUUCUCAACCUGGCGCACCAAGAUUUCAACUGAUCUGUUAGGAUCUUUAGGUUCGAAAUCAACGAAGCACUGAAACACAACAGUUCCAAUCCAAGAAGUAUCAAUAGAUCGGUACAAGGGCAAGUAGAAAGCUUCAUUGGUGGCAGCAUCUGGAGCUAAGGAAGCCUCAAACCCAGUGGUGCAUAGAGCUUCCCUUAGGCCCCUUAUGAGAUCCUUAAAGCAGUUAACAAACAAUUUUUUGUUGCACAGGAUUGUGGUGUAGUUAACAUCGAUUCCAUCGAUGUGGUACUCGUUGAUCAUGUGGUGGAGUGUGGUUGUGGCAUUGAGAACCCAAUCAUCGGCACCACCAGCAGCAACUUUGAAGGGGUCAUCUCCUCCGAUGCUGACAAACACUUUGACUGGCAGAUUCGAGGCAGCACAAUUUAGCUUGAACUGCUCGAUAAGGUGGGGAGUGACAUUGUCUGUGUCCCACUUAGGUUCGAAGUUUCCUUUACCAGAUUCUCCGGCAUAUGCCAGACACAGUUGGUACUCGGUAACAUCAGUAAAGAUGUCACACCUUGACAUAAAGGAAGCAUCAUGAUGGUAUUCACGGAUCACUUUAUUGUUGGAGUCGCAGGUUUCUGCCAUUAUAUUUUAUAUGGGCUGUUGCUACUGCUAUUGCUAUUGCUUUUCUUUUGUGGCUUUGGUUGGUGUGAUUAUAUCGGACACCACUCCUUCCUCUUAUAUAGAUGAUUGGAUCAAAUUUUUAAAUAUCUGUUAAAUCAUACUACAAUAUUUCUAGUUAAUUAUUGUUUUAUGUGUGUGAACAUGUAACUAACCUUCUUUGGAUAAACAUUUUAAUUAAUCAAAGUCUUCUUAAUUAAAUCAUCUUAUUCAGGUCUUACUAUAUUAAAUACAUGGGAUCCACAAGUUAUGGAUCGAUGUUUAUGAAGAAACAACUUUUAUAUACAUGGGAUCCAAAGUGACAUAUAUGCCUUUGUUUUCACAUUGCGCAAACAAAGUGACGUAUGCCUUUGUUGCAUACUUGAAUAAAAUGCAUAGAGACAAUUGGUGUAAUUAUUUCUAGAGGUACGAGGCAAAUUGGACAGCGCAUAGGCUAGAAUGUGAAAAUUUGAUGUUUAUGAAGAAACAACUUUUAGAGGAUGCAGGGAACACAUAGUCGGUUUUGAAAAUUAUACAAAUACACUGUGUUCUAUUUCUCUUUAUCAAUCUUAGAUCUAUUUGCAUUAUAAAUACUUUUUUUAUUCUUAUGAUUGUAUUGGUCUAGUUUGUUGCACAAUAAUGGGUAUAAUUUGGAUUAGAGAUAAACAUAAGCAUGGGAAUGGAGAUCACGUUUGUUAAUUUUUUUUCCCCAGUUGUUAUUGCGUGGUACUUAGUUAAAUUGUGAAAGUGAGAAUGAUUGAGAAAGAAUACAUGGAAUAUGAUAUGAAGAGUUUAAAGAAACUCUCAAUAUCAAUUUAUUCAAUUAUUUUUAAGAACAUUAAUAUAUGGUGGCUUUUUAUCUUUUGUUACUAAUCACAAAAAUAAGAGAUAAAAAAAAGUAUAGUAUUAUUUAUGAAAUUGAGUGAACUCAUACAAUUUGUAAACAUAUGGGCUAAAACACGGGUAAAUAACACCGCUAAUAACAAUUUUUUUAAUUUUAUAUUUGACAUAUCUAUUAUCUAUUAUCUUCUAUAAAUAAUUUUAAAAAAUUUAUGUUGUUAGUAAUUUUGGAAACCAAUUUAUCAAAUAACUAGAUAACAAUGGUUUUUUAAAUAAACUUGAUGUUAGUUCUUUUUUAAUAUUUCUAAACCUCUGGCACUAACUCACUUUGAAACCCUCUCAUUAUCUCGAACUUUCACUCUUUCGUUGUUGUCACUCGUAUUCUCAGGGACUCACGUAAUACUCAAAAAAAUAACAAUAUUCACUAACUAUGGCUUUCAGAAACAACAAUUAUAAUUUGAUUGUAACAAUAUAAAUACCAAUAAAUGAAACAAACAUAAAAUUCAAGAGCAAAAUAACAAGAAAAUAUUUUAGCUCAAUUUUAUUGACACAAGUUUUAGCUCAUGUUUGCAAUCUAUAUGAGUUUGCUCAAUUUCAUAAAUAAUACUAUAGUUUUUUAUAUUUCUUAUUGUUCUGAUUAGUAACAAAAGAAAAAAAACUAUAUAUUAAGGUUCUUCAAAAUAAAUUGAAUAAGUGAAUAUUGAGAAUUUCUUUAAACUCUUCGCAUUAUAUUUUCUGUAUUCUUUCUUAAACAUUCUCACUUUCACAAUUUAAGUACCACACAAAAAAUUGGAGAAAAAAACAAACUUGAACCAUGCAUAUGCUUAUCUCUAAUUAACCCAAAUUAUGCCAAUUAAUUAUUGUGCUGCAAACUAGACCAAAGCCGGCUUUAUGAACCAUCAAAUUUUCAGCCAAAGAAAAAUUAAAGUUGACCAUCAAAUUUUCACAUUCUAGCCUAUGCGCUGUCCAAUUUGCCUCGUACCUCUAGAAAUAAUUGCACCAAUUGUCUCUAUGCAUUUUAUUUAAGUAUGCAACAAAGGCAUACGUCACUUUGUUUAUGUAAAACCUUAUUCAUAGGAGUCUCUAUGGGAAUGAAUAAUUCAUGUACUUGAACUGAUAAAAAACUUUUAAUAUGAAUUUUGUUGCUAUUUCGGUGGAAGCCAAAACUAUAUUUGAAAUAAAUAAGAAAAUGUUAACCGUUAUUUAAUUUUAAAAAGUUUUAGGUAUUAAUUUGAUAAAAUAAAAAAUAUUUCUUAAAUGUUAAUUUUAGAAAGAAUAGUCUAAACGAACACUUUCGUUCUUUAGUCAUGUAGAUUAAUUCACCUCAAUAAUAACUCACAAAUUUAUUUUAUGGAUUUCAUACAUAAAUUAAAACUUUGGAAGAAAAUUUUUUUAUGUGCCAAUGAUAAUUGAUAUGCAGGACUAGAACGAUUAAUUAGUGUUAUGAACCAUCAAAUUUUCAGCCAAAGAAAAAUUAAAGUUGACCAUCAAAUUUUCACAUUCUAGCCUAUGCGCUGUCCAAUUUGCCUCGUACCUCUAGAAAUAAUUGCACCAAUUGUCUCUAUGCAUUUUAUUCAAGUAUGCAACAAAGGCAUACGUCACUUUGUUUGCGCAAUGUGAAAACAAAGGCAUAUAUGUCACUUUGGAUCCCAUGUAUAUAAAAGUUGUUUCUUCAUAAACAUCGAUCCAUAACUUGUGGAUCCCAUGUAUUUAAUAUAGUAAGACCUGAAUAAGAUGAUUUAAUUAAGAAGACUUUGAUUAAUUAAAAUGUUUAUCCAAAGAAGGUUAGUUACAUGUUCACACACAUAAAACAAUAAUUAACUAGAAAUAUUGUAGUAUGAUUUAACAGAUAUUUAAAAAUUUGAUCCAAUCAUCUAUAUAAGAGGAAGGAGUGGUGUCCGAUAUAAUCACACCAACCAAAGCCACAAAAGAAAAGCAAUAGCAAUAGCAGUAGCAACAGCCCAUAUAAAAUAUAAUGGCAGAAACCUGCGACUCCAACAAUAAAGUGAUCCGUGAAUACCAUCAUGAUGCUUCCUUUAUGUCAAGGUGUGACAUCUUUACUGAUGUUACCGAGUACCAACUGUGUCUGGCAUAUGCCGGAGAAUCUGGUAAAGGAAACUUCGAACCUAAGUGGGACACAGACAAUGUCACUCCCCACCUUAUCGAGCAGUUCAAGCUAAAUUGUGCUGCCUCGAAUCUGCCAGUCAAAGUGUUUGUCAGCAUCGGAGGAGAUGACCCCUUCAAAGUUGCUGCUGGUGGUGCCGAUGAUUGGGUUCUCAAUGCCACAACCACACUCCACCACAUGAUCAACGAGUACCACAUCGAUGGAAUCGAUGUUAACUACACCACAAUCCUGUGCAACAAAAAAUUGUUUGUUAACUGCUUUAAGGAUCUCAUAAGGGGCCUAAGGGAAGCUCUAUGCACCACUGGGUUUGAGGCUUCCUUAGCUCCAGAUGCUGCCACCAAUGAAGCUUUCUACUUGCCCUUGUACCGAUCUAUUGAUACUUCUUGGAUUGGAACUGUUGUGUUUCAGUGCUUCGUUGAUUUCGAACCUAAAGAUCCUAACAGAUCAGUUGAAAUCUUGGUGCGCCAGGUUGAGAAGAUAGUGGAAGAGUAUGAUUAUUAUGACUCUAAGAUCUUGCUUGGCUACAGCGCCAUUAAGGAGGAUUGGAAUAAAGUUUCACCACCCCUCUUCUUUCUUGCUCUCAAUCGCCUAGUGCAUUCUUGGCCUAGGGUUAAGGGCGCAUCUGUCAAGGUUCUUAGUGACACCUAUGCCUUCAUUCCCCCAACGUGGAUCCCUAAACUCCUGUCUUUGGCCGUCUCCGAUCCUGGAAAAUAUCCUUAAUUGAAGAUCCAUAAUUAUUAAGUUCUAUCUAUGCAUUCAUGGCUCUAGCCAUUCUAUAUAUGGAAUAAGACCCAUGCUAUAUCUAUUAAUUGUAUGUGUGUGUUCCUUCUGCCUAUAUCUAUAUAUGUUGUGCGUGCAUUUGAAAAAACAAUGCAUGGCAUGCAUAUUUGUGCUGUGUUAAUGCCUACGUGCAUCUUUGUCUCAUCAAUAAAAUAUAUUGUAUCUCUUUGUGCUUCAUUUGCUCUUGAUUAUUAUAUAUAUGUAUCAAUAACAUAUGUUUUCAGCUAAAUUAAUCAUUUUCGUUAAUUUUGAUGAAUUAGGUAAUUGAAUCUUACAUACAGGAAACUUUACACAUAAUAAUGUAUAUGAAUCCACCAAAGUUGACCUGAUUGAGUUUUCUUAAGAUCGGUGACCCAGCCCAGGUUGAGCAAGUUUUUUAAAUGUUUAAUUGAUAUGCUAUUUAAUAUAAUUUAUAUGUAUUUUGUUAUUAUUUUUAUAUGAAGUAGACUUCUAUGGAUCUACGAGUCGAAUCCAUGAGUCGAGUCUUUAGAACUUUGACGAGUUUAUGUAAACUCCCGAUCAAGUUUGAUAAUAUUAGUGUCAAGUUUACUUAUGGGAUGAGUGUGUAGCCACCCAUUAGUGAAGAUCUCUCUCUAUGUUUUAUCCCCCCUCAAUUUACCGAUAAUUAUAAUUCUCUUAAAAUAAAAUAAUAAAUUCUAAUUCACGUUUAGUAAAAUUCGAAUAAGAAAUGUAUUAAAAACUAAUAUACUUGCAAUCUUCCAAAAUAUUAUAUAAUCUCCAUAGAUUUAAAUAUGUUUUUGGUACUUGUAAAUUAGUCUUUUUUAUUUAUUUUUUAUCCUUUUGAAUGUAUUUUUUUAAUUUUAGUCCCCGAAAGUUGUUUUCAAAAUUUUAAUUCCUGUAAGUUUUUUGUUUAUUUUUAAUCCUUGUAUUGUAAGUUUAUGUUUUUUCGAUUUUAGUCCCUUUAAGAUUCUAAUUUAUUCAUUUGUAAUCUGCAUAAGUUCAUGCUUAAUUACAAUGCCCAAAAUCAUAUUGGAAAAAUACAAAUUUACAGGGACUAAAAAUAAAUAUAAAAAUUUACAAGGAUAAAAAUGGAAAAAACACAUACUUACCAAAACUAAAUAUGAAUAAUAUUUUCACAAAGAUCAAAAUUUAAAGAAAAUACAAACUUACAAAAAUAAAAAUGUAUUUAAAUCAUUUAAUAUGAUGAUUGAAAUAUUUAUCAUUCAACAUUGAGAUUUUAGUUAAUUGAACUAAUUGUAUUUAAAAGAGAUUUAAUUGAUAUGAAUUUACAAUUAAAGUGUGAAAAUUAAAAUUUAUCAACUAUUAUUUAUCAAUAAUCAAUGAUAAUGAGUUAAAAUCAUGAUUUAGACAUUCUUAAAUCAUCUUUUCAUGUCAGAUAACAGAAAAAAUAUUUUUUUAAGAAAAUAUUUUUUAGAUUCUUUGAAUGAAAAUUGAUUUUGAGGGUGUAAUAACCAAAAUGGAUUUUAAUGUCUAUGUACACUCAAUUUUCUAUUAUAAUUAGUUAUAUAUAUAUAUAUAUAAUUAAAAUUAAAUGGACAUAAUUAAAAUUAAGAUAAUAUGUGUAUAAUAUGCUAACAUGAAGGCAAUCGGAUUCAAUAAUGAAAUCAUCAAUCCCAAAUCUUUGAGCCAUUAGAAGGCUACCAACAUGGCUAGGGCCUUCCUUUCAUGGGUUUAAACGGGGAAGUGUUAGAUAAAGCCAUGACAAAGUGUCCUCUAUCAUCCGUGAUACAACAACCAACUUAAAAGAAUUUUCAUAUUCGCCAAAAGCAGCAUCAAUAUUGCAUUUUAAUGUCCUUAGAGGAGGAGGUUCCCACCUUACUACCAUCAGAUUUGCAUUGGGCCUUAAGUAUGACUUCUAAAUCACUCAAGCAUUUCUCCGAUCGUCGAGAAAUUCCUGAUCUUGAUAUACCUCAUGCUCAGUGCGCAAUCACUUACAACAAUUCUAUUUUACAUACAAGCUUAGUGCGACAUGCUAGGCUAACCGUGCAGGCACUUAUGCAGAAACAACAGUGCAACGCAUUUGACCCUAUUUAAGCUCCAAGGAUGCAAAUAGAAGGUAGAUAACUGGUUGGGGGACUAUCUAGGGUUUGAGGUUGCAGGUGCAAAGCUCUCCCUUUCCCUCCAUGUCUUCCCUACCAUUUCUCAUCAUCUAUUUUCUUCUUGUAGUUAGGUUUACCCAUUUUAGGGGUUGAUGUAGUUGAAUCCAUCCUGAUGCUUACAUUUUGAUUAUUAAUGUAUGUUUAUUGUUCAUUAUUAUGUGCUUUCCUCUAUGCAUUAAUAUUUGCUUUGGCUUGACCACCCUUUUCUUGAUGUUGUGGUUUGAAUUGUUAGUGGAAAAUGCUUUGAAAUUUAGAAAUAUAGAGGAACACCUAAUGCGUUUUGUGUCUAGAGAUAGAACAAAGCUUGUUAGUCAUCUUUUAACUCUUGUUUUUAAAGCAAGUCAUUUGGGUAGAUUAGUCAAGGGAUUGGUAGUUUGGUCAAGGGGCUUAGAUUCUUUCCAUCUGAGCGAUCGGGGUUUGAGUAUUUUUGUGAGUUGAUUAUUAUAAUUGUGCUUUGAACUAGAUUAGUGGUCUUUUUUAGCAUGAGGAGGUGGUUUAGUGAAAUCAACCCUAACUCUUUUAUUCUUUGUUAUUUUACUUCUUUUUAUCGCACUCCAAGUGUUCAUAAAAAUUUCCCAAAAAGAGUUUCUUGUUCUUUUUCUCUUGAACUUUAUGUUUAUUUCAUUUCUUGUUAUUUAUAUUGUUACAAUCAAAUUCUAAUUGUUGUUUCUGAAAGCCAUAGUUAGUCAAUAUUGCUAUUUUUUCGAGUAUGACGCAAGUGUCUAUGAAUACGGGAGUGGAAACAACGAAAUAGCGAAGGUUCGAGAGGAUGAGACGGUUUCAAAGUGAGUCAGCGCCAGAGGUUUAGAAAUACUAAAAAAAUGACUAACAUCAAUUUUAUUUAAAAAUCGAUGUUAUCUACUCAUUUGACAAAUCGAUUUUCAAAAACCGAUGUUAACUAAUUACAAACAACAUUGAUUUUUUUUUUUUAAAAAUGAUGUUAACAUUGUACUAACAACAUCAGUUUUCAAAAAACCGAUGUGAAGUUUCUGGUAGUAACAUCGGUUUUCAAAAAUCAAUGUUAAGAAGCUCCAAGUAUUUAAGGAAAUAUCACCGCGUAUAAUUUAACAUCUAUAUUUCUUGUGACCGAUGUUAAAUUGGGGAUGUUGAAUGCAUAUUUUGUUAUAGUGUGGGAUAUCUUGAAAAUCUAACCCUUUAUGUACACGUAUUUAUGGGUCAUAUGGUCCAUGGGCAUUGCCUUUUUAAUUAAGGGAAUGUUCAUCCGAAAUUACAUGGUAGUAAGUCCUUGAUAAUGAUUGGAUUACGUUAAGAUAAACUAUAUUCUUUAAUCUUCACAAAAAUGACAAGUAUAUAUGUAUUAAGAAAGUUUACGUCUAUUCAGCCCUAUAGAGGGAUAAAGGUCCACUCAGUCUUCAAUAUGAUCGAAGGGUAUUCGUCCAUACGAUACACAUGCCCCCUAAGCCUCAAUUCAUUAAGGGGACAAAUCAGAUUACUAUUAGCCAAUAUCAUACAAAGCAUACUCUUUUCUCUAGUAUUUUAGAGUGUGUUAUGUAUUAGCGGGUACUAAUGACCAUCUGGUCUUUUGUAGGACCAAUCAUUCAUCAAAGGGUAUUUGUCCAUAUGGUACCUUGCUCCCUUAGCCAAUAAGUUCUUAAAAAAAUGCAGAAUCUUGACAUAAUUGUCUUAUGCCAAAAGGUUUUCAUCCCUUCUCAUGAAUGUUGUAGUCAAAGGUGUUUGAUUUUCUCUAGAUAUCUCAUGUGUUGUAUCUAGAAGCAUGUUAGGAUGAGUUGCUUCAUUUUGCAGGUAGAAUCAUGAUAGUUAUAAGUUUCGAAAAUGAAGUGACACUAUUUUUCUAGACCAUUGAUCUCACAUGAUCCAAUGUUUGGGAAUAGUCACAAUAUUUGGGCCUCCAUAGGCCCAACCUCUAUGUAGACCACUUUCUCGUCUUUCUCCUUCCACACUUCAUUUUCUCAAACUUCAUCUUUCAUGCUACCAAGCACUAGUUUCUUUUUAGGAUGUAGUUAUUCAUUUACUCAUUUACUUUAAUUACUUUUUCAUCUAUUUAUUUCCUAUUUUCUAUUUAAUGAAAUGUCAACUUUAUGGUGAAGAUUAUUCAAUUAAAUGUCACAUUUGAUUUUGCACAUGUUUUAAAAUAAUUUAUAGGUGGUUGAGUAAGAUACGUGUUGUAAACCUCCUGAUAAAUGUCUUUGAUUUCAAUGGAUAAAAAAAGUCACAAUUAUUAUUUUUAUUUCCUUUCCAAUAAUUUUUUCAGACAUUUUUUUAUUUAUUUCAUGAUUAUUAUAAUUACAUGCUUAAAUAUGAACAUUUGAGUGUUUAGUUUUAUUUAUUUGUUUAAAAUAAUAAUAAUAAUUUUAAUACUAUUAUCAUGAUUUUAACUUUAUUUAUUUUUUACUUAGUGAAUUUUAUAAUCUAUGAAAAUAUUGUGCAUGUGUGUAUUUCUAGAAGUAGAAGGGAAAAAUGUAUAUAUAUAUAUAUAUAUAUAUAUAUAUAUAUACACACACACACACACACUAGUAUUAGAGCAUAGGCAACCAGAUUUAUUGUAAAUUAUCACAAAUUAUAAUUAUUAUAUGAUUGAAUUUAAAGAAAAACUAAUUUUACAUUGUAUUGCUAGGUUACAGUUGAGACUAUUAAUCUUGCAUCAAAAACAUGUUUCUUGGAUACUAUUGUGUUGCAGCUAUAUAGAAUAGAAUUUCUUCUUUUAAACUUUAUUUGUUUAAAAAGGGUGUUGCUAAGAGGAGUGAGGAGAUUGAAUUUGUUGGUAUUGCACAUUUUCUUGAGCUUCCAACCCCAGAAAUGUUGCAAGGACUAUAGGUACCAUUAUCUUGUUGUUAUUUCAUGUGAUAUUUAAUAUAUUAUCUUGAAUUUAAGCUUCUUUGUACAAAUUACAUACAAAUGCAGUUGUUGUAUUAACUUGUUUGACAAAAUUUGUACUUAUACUCCAAAAAUGCAAAAUAACAAUUUGAUAUGUGUAAAACUAUUUUGAAUAAUUGAAGUACUAAUACAUGAGUAAUAUAAUUUACCAAUUGAAGAUCAAAGUUAACCUGAUUAUUGAGGAUGUAUUUCAUAUUGAGGAUGUAUUUCAUAUUCUGCACUAUGAAAAUUGUAUCUAUAGUUGACAUAUUUUUGCCCGUAAAUUAAGUAUAAAUUUUCUUACUUGCUUUAAACAUAAAUUUCAUAUUUUUAAUUCUAUAUGUUGUUUCUAUCUUUAAAAAAAUGUUCAUCUCCACAAAUUAAGUAUAGAUUUUGUUACUUGUCUUAAAAAUAUGAUUUUCAUAUUUUUAGAUAAUCUAUUGGGAGAAGAAGAGAAAAGAAAAACUCCACCUCAUAAUUUUACAUAUAAAUUCUAGACAUUAAUUUGACUUAUACUUGGUAUUUUAAAUAAAAUAAAAUAUUCAAUGAAUUAGUUAAGUGAAAAGAAAAUAAGCAAGAAAUAAACCAAAAAACAUUUCCAUUAAUCUCAUUAGUUAUAUUUUAUUAAUCUUGACCUGAUUGGGUUUUGUUAAAAUUGGUGACUCAAGAAUUAGUUAACUUUCAACAUCGUUUCUCGCCAGCACUGAUGUAGUAACCUGUGCUUUCAAUAUCGUUUCUCGCCAGCACCGAUGUAGUAACCUGGGCUUUCAACGUCGUUUCUCGCCUUAGCAAUGAUGUAGAAAUAUCCGAUUUCUACAUCGUUGCUUACGCCAGCACCAAUGUAAAAAAAUUAGCAACCUGCAUAGUAAUUAAUCAAUAUAUAUGCUUGAUGUAAUAAUUGUUUAUAGAUAAAAACUGAGAAUGAGUGGUAAAAAUUAUCUAUAUUUUUAAUAAUUAAUAAAUAUAAUAAAAUAAUAAUUAAUUAAAACCUAACAAUGAGUAAUAAAAAUUAUCUAUAUUACUAAUAAUGAAUAAAUAUACUUAUAUAAUAUUAAAUUAAGUAAAAGCUAACAAUGAGUAAUAAAAAUUAUGUAUAUACAAUGAGUAAUUGAUGUUAAAAGAGGGUUAAUUAAUUACCUCUGUGUUUUGUUGCCACACCAAAGUACUAAAAAUGAAUAAUUGACCGAAGGUGAUGGCUGAAAAAUUCUAUGUUAGAUUGAUAUAAUUUCAUCAAGCAUCAAUGCAGAGCCAUAGACAGACUAUAGAGUGGGUUCAUUUGAGUCUUUCUUCCAGAAGAAUCUUCGAAUACCCAUUUUUGAAAGCUGCAAUCUACAAGCAUAUACAACAACAACAAUAACAACGCCUUAUCCCACUAGGUGGGGUCGGCUACAUGGAUCAACUUCCGCCAUAAUGUUCUAUCAAGUACCAUACUUCUAUCCAAAUCAUUUAGUUCGAGAUCCUUUUUGAUAACCUCUCUUAUAGUCUUUUUGGGUCUUCCUCUGCCUCGAAUUGUUUGCCUUCUCUUCAUCUGGUCUACUCUCCUCACUACAGAGUCUACCGGUCUUCUCUCUACAUGCCCAAACCACCUAAGUCUAUUUUCCACCAUCUUCUCUACAAUAGGCGCUACUCCAACCCUCUCUCUAAUAGCUUCGUUUCUAAUUUUAUCCUGUCUAGUCUUACCACACAUCCACCGCAACAUCCUCAUCUCCGCUACACCUACUUUAUUCUCAUGUUGGCUCUUGACCGCCCAACAUUCUGUUCCGUACAAAAUCGCCGGUCUUACCGCAGUCCGAUAAAACUUUCCCUUUAGCUUGAUCGGUACCUUUGCAUCACAUAACACCCCCGAUGCUUUUCUCCAUUUCAUCCAUCCUGCUUGAAUGCGAUGAUUCACAUCCCCUUCAAUUUCUUCAUCAUCCUGUAUUACAGACCCAAGAUAUUUAAACCGUGUGACUUGAGGGAUAAUAUGGUCUCCUAUUUUCACCUCUGAGUUAGAAACCCUCCUUCUUUUGUUGAACUUACAUUCCAUAUACUCCGAUUUGCUUCUGCUUAGGCGAAAACCAUGUGUUUCUAGAGCUCGUCUCCAAGUUUCCAACCUCUCAUUCAACUCCUCCCUCGACUCUCCGAGGAGGACUAUGUCAUCUGCAAAAAGCAUGCAUCUCGGCGCUAUCUCUUGGAUUUGUUCCGUGAGGACAUCCAGAAUUAAGGUAAAAAGGUAGGGGCUAAGGGUUGACCCUUGAUGCAAACCAAUUGUGAUGGGAAAAUCGUCUGACUCUCCACCCUGUGUCCUAACACUAGUCGAUACCCUAUCAUACAUAUCUUGGAUAGCUCGAAUUUAUUAGGGUAUAUAUGUAUAUAUCAUUUGUCACCUUAACAUUCAUAAUGUUUGAAGUGGACUUUUCCACCUUAUUAUAUAUACCAACAAUAAUCUCACAUGCUGCUCCCAGCUAUAAAUUCUCUUAAAUUUGCAACUGUGCUUUGAUAUGAUUCAAGAGUGGAUAAGGAACAAUCCUAAGGCCUCCAUUUGCACUGCUGAAGGAGUAAACCAGUUCAAAUAUAUUGCAAACUUUCAAGACUAUCAUGGAUUGCCAGAGUUCAGAAAUGUAGGCUAACUAAUUAAUUUGUGACUAUAUAUGAUCACAAUGAUUUGGAACAUGUUUUAGCUAGGAAACUAAACUAAAAUUGAUAUUUUAUCAAUUAUCAUCAUAUCAUAUAAUAUUAAUAUAUGGAUUUCCGUAGUUUUAAGCAGGCUGUGGCAAAUUUCAUGUCAGAAGUGAGAGGUGGGAGAGUGAGAUUUGAUCCUGACCGUAUAUUGAUGAGUGGAGGGGCCACAGGAGCAAACGAGCUAAUAAUGUUCUGUUUGGCUGAUGCUGGAGAUGCUUUUCUGGUUCCUAGCCUUUAUUAUCCAGCAUAUGUGCCCUCUCUUUCAUCACGCCUGUUUUCAUUCAAUGAAUCACACUAUUUCACACCCAUCAAAACGUUAAAAGUGGACACAAAUUAAAGCAACCACAAAGAGUAAUAACUAUUUUGUCUUCAUUAAAAGGGUAUAUACCUGGCGGUGGCUUCAUUGAAGUGGUGCUCAGAAUUGUAAAUUAUUCAACAAAAUUUUAGUUUUUAACCAUAUUAAACCUUAUUAAUCGUGUGGAUGAAAAUAGUGAAUCAACUAAUCAAGCCAAAGUUCUGGCAUGAAUCCUUAACUAUAGUACCUGAUGUUUGGCUAUUAUCAACUUUGUUCCAAGCUACUCGCCCUCACUCAUCAGGAUCACAAAUUUCAUUAGUGGUUAUGCUUGAUAUGCCCUCUCUUUCAUUAGCGGUUAUGCUUGAUAUGCCCACCUUUCAUAGCAUAUGUAAUAAUUAAUACCAUAAUUUAUGAUAAAAUGAUAAUAUAAAAUUAUCAUGUACAUUAAAAUCUUUAAAUAAUUUGUUUCGAAGUUUAGUUUGGAGCAAUAUUCUUUAGCUAAAAAUUAGAUUAGACAAAAAGUGUAAAAAUUGUAACUAUAAAACAGCUAGCAAACUUUGUAACCAAAAUAACUUAAAUACACACUUCAACAUGCAAAAAUUGCUUAUAUACCACAUAAAAACACAAACUCAAAAAGAACUAGAGUGAUAUUAAAAUAGUCCCAUAUAAAAGUUACUUUGUCUUCAGACUAAAUGAUGACCAUCAUAUAUCCAAAUUCAUUCAUAGUAUAUAAAGGUUAAAAUAAUUAGUUAAAAAAAAUUGUCAUCGUGAGACAUUGGCUGUUAUCAAACAAGGAUUCACCAAAGGCUAGGCAGUGAUUAGAAUCAUCAUCAUUGAAGACUUUCCAUGCAACAACCUGUUUAGAAGUUGUAUGAGUUCGCUCAAUUUCAUAAAUAAUACUAUACUUUUUUUAUCUUUUUUUUUAUUAGUAACAAAAGAUAAAAAGUCACCAUAAAUUAACGUUCUUGAAAAUAAUUGAAUAAAUGAAUAUUGAGAGUUUCUUUAAACUCUUCAUAUCAUAUUCUAUGUAUUAUUUUUCAAUCAUUCUCACUUUCACAAUUUAAUUAAGUACCAUGCAUUAACAACUGCGAAAAAAAAAUAACAAACGUGAUCUCCAUUCCCAUGUUUAUGUUUAUCUCUAAUUCAAAUUAUACCCAUUAUUGUGCAACAAACUAGACCAAUAAAGUCAUAAGAAUAAAAAAAGAAUUUAUAAUGCAAAUAGAUCUAAGAUUAAUGAAGAGAAAAAAUAGCAAUCAAAUAAUUCCGUCGAAUUAAAGAAUUGUGACGGACUCUAACAUUUUGACUAUGAUAAAAAAAAAAAAACUUCUUUCAAUGGAAAGUUUUAUAAUGGGAGGUGAGAACUAAUUAACUUUGUGUUUUAUGUAAACUAGCAAGUAUUUGGUAGAAUGUACAAGCUUAUAUAUAAAUAUAUGUGAACUAUAAACUAUGUUGGGAAAUAAAUAUCUAACGUGUUAUCCAUAAUUUUUAAGAAUAUUAGUCAUUACUUUUGAAAUAAGUUAUUUCGUAUUAAUAUUAUGGUAAAAAAAAUAUGAACUAUAAAAAAUACAAAUGUAAAAAUUAUCUAGACAUUAUUUUUUUGUUAAUAUAUAAAUACAGAAAUGAUAAUAUAAACAUGAAAACGUUUUAAUUUUUGAAAAACAUAUAAAAAAAAUAAUUAAUGUAAUAGUAUUAUACUGAAGACUUGCAAAUUAGUAUUUUAUGAUGCUUGUUGCUUCACAUAUUAAUUUAAUUAAAAAAAAGAAAUUCAAUUUGUUUGCAUAACUAAUUUGUUCCUCUCUUUGAUAAACAAACAAAAAUUGUUAUAUCCUCUUUAUUUCAUUUACAGAUUUUAUUGUUCAUUAUUAAUGUUAUAAGAAAUAUAUUUAAGUGAAAAAAAAGAAGAAAAAAAUUAUUUAAGAUUUCAUUUUUUAUUUUUACACGAUUAUUAUAAUAAGACAAAAUAAAUAUCCUGAAUUGGAAACUACAUUUAUGAUAUAAGGGAUUGACAUAAUUAAUUGUUUCUUCCACAUUUGCUCUUAUUUAACAUAACUUAGAUAAAUAUAUAUGGAUUAUUCCACAACUACUCUCAUCAUAAAUAUCAAAUGAUGAUAUUUUAGGUUAAAUAUAUAGUUUGUAAGUACUAUUCAUUAUUUCUUAAACUUUGCAUAUGAACUUUGAAAAUCAAUAGUUUAGGUCUAGAGAAAAAAUUUAAUAUAUUUUGGAUUCAAAUGCAAAAGUGACUUAAAUAAGUCUUUAAGAACUUCGAUAGGAGGACUCUUUCAAACAUUCUCUAUAAUGUGUUAUAAUUUAUUGAAAACUAUAAAAUUAAAAAGAAAUAAUUAUUAAAUACCAUGUGAGAUUCAUAAAAGUUUUCUAUUUUUAGUAAAUAGAAAUCAAGAAGAAAAAUUGUGUUAAAAAAAUGGUCAAGAUCACAUUAUCUUUUAUGGGAAGUAAUCAUAUUCCAAAUGUAGAAAAUUGAUUAUAACUAUACUGAGUUACUUUUCUACAUAUAUUAUAAUUACAACCUAUGUCAAAUCAAAAUCAUUAUUUUUGGUAAAUAGUUGUCUAAAUCACUUAUUUGAUAUAUAGUUUUACGUAAUCACGUAAUUUGGUAAAAUCUUAUUUUUGAAAAAAAUAAUAAGGUGUUAAUGGUUUAUUAUUUAGUUUAAAAAGUUUAAAAUAUUGAUUUAUUUAAAACUAGAUGCAUUUUUACCAAUUUAUUUAGAGAAAAAAAUUGCUAGAAGGAACACUUUCGUCCCUUUAAUUAUGUAAAAUUAAUCCACAUCAAAAGAACAACAAAUAAAUUCGUUUCCACUACGCGUGGUAGACUUUUGGUUCUCUAAUAUUUACAUCUCCUACUGAUAUAAAUAUAUGAUAACCAAUGUCCAACUGGCUUCAUAUAUUUCUGUAUAGGGUAUCUUUGGUAUUUUCUUUAAAUACAAUAUAUUUCCUCAGCCGACAAAAGAAAACUAAAAAAAUGCAAGUCAAUGAUUUUGUAAAAAUAAAAUAAAAUUUGAAGUUAUCGAUACACACUAUUUGGUAUAUGUUUUAGUUGUUUUUCAUAAAAGAAAACAUUUCUGUAAUGGUGUCAAUAAUUGAUAGUAGUUUAAUUAAAAUAAGUGAAAAAAUUUAAUAGUGCAUAAAAGGUGGCGAAAAGAAUGCAAGUUUGUAUAAUUCAACAAGUUUAUCAAUGGAAAAUACAGUGAAUUUAUCCGGUUGUAAUAAAAAAUAAAAUAUAUUUUUGCACUCUUGAAAUAUUUCAAAAUGUCAGUUAUAAUUCUUAAUUAUAAAAAAUAAUAUUCUUUUAAUUUCUACAUUUAUAAAAAGAAAGUGAUGUGAUUUCACUCACCCAGAGUGACCAGAAACAUAUGUUUCUGUGAAAAUAUAGGGAUUAAAACCUUAUUUUGAAAUAUUUAAAAGAAUAAAAAAAACAUUUUUAUCAAAAAAAUCACUUGGAUAGGAUUUGAUGAUUUAAAAAGAUAAAUAAAUGAAUAACAAUCUAUCUAUUCUAUUUUCAAAUUUAAUGGAUCAUCCAAUUAACACUAUAGAAUAAAACUAGUUAAACAAUUUUUUAUAUAUAUAUUUCAAUUUCCUUUAAAUUAUUUAUAAAAAAUAUUUUUCCAUAUAUUAUUUUAUAGUACUUAUUCAUAGGAGUCUCUAUUGGAUGGAAUAAUUCAUGUACUUGAAUUGACCAAAACCCUUUAAUAUGAAUUUUGUUGUUAUUUCGGUAGAAGCCAAAACUGUAUUUCAAAUAAAUAAGAAAGUGUUAAUAACCAUUAUUUAAUUUUAAAAAGUUUUAGGUAUUAAUUUGAUAAAAUAAAAAAAUAUUUCUUAAAUGUUAAUUUUAGAAAGAAUAGUCUAAACGAACACUUUCGUUCUUUAGUCAUGUAGAUUAAUUCAUCUUAAUGACAACUCACAAAUUUAUUCUGUGGAUUUCAUACAUAAAUUAAAACUCCGGAAGAAAAAAAAAAAUCUAUAUGACAAUGAUAAUUGAUAUGCAGAACUAGAAGGAUUAAUUAGUGUUAUUGACCUAAGUUUUAUCCCAUGUUUGCAAACUGUAUGAGUUUGCUGAAUUUCAUAAAUAAUACUAUAGUUUUUUUAUAUCUCUUAUUGUUGUGAUUAGUAACAAAAGAUAAAAAGCUAUAUGUUAAGGUUCUUCAAAAUAAAUUGUAUAAAUGAAUAUUGAGAAUUUCUUUAAACUCUUCGCAUCAUAUUCCGUGUAUUCUUUCUCAAUCAAUCUCACUUUCACAAUUUAAGUACCACACAAAAAAUUGGGGGAAAAAAUAAACUUGACCCGUGUAUAUAUUUAUCUCUAAUUAACCCAAAUUAUACUCAUUAAUUAUUGUGCUGCAAACUAGACCAAAAAAUCGUAAGAAUAAAAAAAAAGUUAAAAAGGAUAUACAAUGCAAGCAUAUGUAGAUUGAUAAAGAAGAAAAAGAAAACAGUGUAUUUGUAUAUCUUUCAAACCGAACAGCUAGCUAAAGGUUGGAAAUAAAAUUUAGAGUAAAAUAUAUAAAUACUUACUGAGAUUUCGUUAAAUUUCUCUUGAUACUCCUUAUUUUAAUUUUAUUUUUUAAAAAAAAUAUAAAUUUGUUAAGAUUUCAUAUAUUAAACAUGUUUAAUUUUAUUAUUUAUUUAUAUUUAGUUAUGAUUAAUUUGACUUGUUGGUUCAGUUUAAAGCCAAGAUACAUAAAAAAUAUAUAUAUAAAGCCAUUAUGAACCAUCAAAUUUUCAGCCAAAGAAAAAUUAAAGUUGACCAACAUGGUCUAGUUUCACAUUCUAGCCUAUGCGCUGUCCAAUUUGCCUCGUACCUCUAGAAAUAAUUGCACCAAUUGUCUCUAUGCAUUUUAUUUAAGUAUGCAACAAAGGCAUACGUCACUUUGUUUGCGCAGUGUGAAAACAAAGGCAUAUAUGUCACUUUGGAUCCCAUGUAUAUGCUAAAAGUUGUUUCUUCAUAAACAUCGAUCCAUAACUUGUGGAUCCCAUGUAUUUAAUAUAGUAAGACCUGAAUAAGAUGAUUUAAUUAAGAAGACUUUGAUUAAUUAAAAUGUUUAUCCAAAGAAGGUUAGUUACAUGUUCACACACAUAAAACAAUAAUUAACUAGAAAUAUUGUAGUAGGAUUUAACAGAUAUUUAAAAAUUUGAUCCAAUCAUCUAUAUAAGAGGAAGGAGUGGUGUCCAAUAUAAUCACACCAACCAAAGCCACAAAAGAAAAGCAAUAGCAAUAGCAACAGCCCAUAUAAAAUAUAAUGGCCGAAACCUGCGACUCCAACAAUAAAGUGAUCCGUGAAUACCAUAGUGAUGACUCCUUUAUGUCAAGGUGUGACAUCUUUACUGAUGUUACCGAGUACCAACUGUGUCUGGCAUCUGCCAGAGAAUCUGGUCAAGGAAAGUUCGAACCUAAGUGGGACACAAAGAUAGUCACUCCCCACCUUAUCGAGCAGUUCAAGCUAAAUUGUGCUGCCUCGAAUCUGCCAGUCAAAGUGUUUGUCAGCAUUGGAGGAAAAGACCCCUUCAAAGUGGUUGCUGGUGGUGCCGAUGAUUGGGUUCUCAAUGCCACAACCACACUCCACCACAUGAUCAACGAGUACCACAUCGAUGGAAUCGAUGUUAAGUACGCCAGAAUCCUGUGCAACAAAGAUAUGUUUGUUAACUGCAUUAAGGAUCUCAUAAGGGGCCUAAGGGAAGCUCUAUGCACCACUGGGUUUGUGGCUUCCUUAGCUCCAAAUGCUGCCACCAAUGAGGCUUUCUACUUGCCCUUGUACCGAUCUAUUGAUAAUUCUUGGAUUGGAACUGUUGUGUUUCAGUGCUUCGUUGAUUUCGAACCUAAAGAUCCUAACAGAUCAGUUGAAAUCUUGGUGCGCCAGGUUGAGAAGAUAGUGGAAGAGUAUGAUUAUUAUGACUCUAAGAUCUUGCUUGGCUACAGCGCCAUUAAGGAGGAUUGGAAUAAAGUUUCACCACCCCUCUUCUUUCUUGCUCUCAAUCGCCUAGUGCAUUCUUGGCCUAGGGUUAAGGGCGCAUCUGUCAAGGUUAUUAGUGACAACAUUGCCUUCAUUCCCCCAACGUGGAUCCCUAAACUCCUGUCUUUGGCCGUCUCCGAUGUUGGAAAAUAUCCUUAAUUGAAGAUCCAUAAUUAUUAAGUUCU
rnacentral:lncRNA from 1 species